CAGAAGGCCAUGUGGAUCAUGGUGAGAGUGAUGGGGAAAGGCCAGUUGUACAUCUUCUUGUCGAGGAUGUACUUGUUGUAGACGAUGACGGUGAAGCUGAGGAAGAUCCAGAUCGCGACGUAGGUGUAGGAGAGGAUGAUCUUCUUGAUGACUCCAUCGCUUAGGGCGCCGCCUUUUCCCAUUGUGGCUGGUGGUGGCUUUCGACGGAGGAUGAGGGAGGAGGAGGAGGAGGAGGUGCGUAGGAUAGCGUCGAGGGUGCAGGAUAAAAGGGGGAGUGGAGAGGAGACCUUUUGGUGUGGUGUUAAUGUAGAGAGAGGGUUGGCAUGACUGGGCUACGCUACGUGGCUUUUAAUACUCCUUUUUUUUUAAUUGACUAAUGGGCUUAGAUCUGGGGCCCAUUGAAAAUUCUCCCUCCCUAUUGUUUUUGAAUUUUCAAUGUAUAAAUAGUGUUUGUUAUUCACUUUUAUGUGGACUAGGGACCCGGGUUUAUCUUCUAUAGUUUUAGAUUUUUCUAUUAUUUUGUAAUUUAUAAUUGAUUCUAAUGUACUUAACAUUUGUAUAAAAGUGUGUGUUAUUCACUUUUACCAAAUUUUAAUUAAUUUUGAAUUUAUGUCUAGAUAACAUGUUUGCUUAUUUUUAAAACUAUUUUAUUAAUUUCAUUUUUUUUUCUUUUGAUUACAUAUAACAUUUUAUGUGGAUGUGAUGUGGGAUAUUUUUAAAAAUAUGAUUAAAUUUACAGUUAUUGCCAGUCAAAAUUACUUAAAUUAUUCCUACUAGUCAAUAUUACCUUUAAAUUUCCUUUUUACAACACUAGAGUAAACUGUCUAUCAAUAAGAUUAUUACUAUGUUAUUUUCUGAAUUUGAUCUGGAUCCAUUGUCUACUUCAACAUUUACCUUUAUCAACAUUUACAUUAAAUAUUGUAUUAUUCACAUUGAUGUUUCUAGUCUUGCCUAACAUUAACUACUGGUCUUCAGACUGUUAGGUUAUGUUUUUUUUUUUUUUUUUUUGAAUUGAAACUGUUAGGUUAUGUUGAUUGACAAAACAUAAAUUAUUGAUAAAAGAAUUGGAGGGUGGCAACUUUUUUUUUUUUUUUGUCACAGGGAGGGUGGCAACUUAAUUUUUAAAAGUAUGGCGUUGUUAAGAAGAGCUGAUGAUGACAGUUGGUUCUAACCUAAAGUCUUUAUUAUUCUUUGUCUUUGAGCUGAUAAGAGAUACUCAUGAUAAUUAAUGCUAUGACUAAGGGUUCAUCAGUUACAGGUUUCAAUUCCCGGAGAAACUGAUUUAUUAAACAAUUAUGCAGGCUACAGAAGAAAAGUUUACAAGGGAUUUUCAACAUGGUGCAAGUAAACUCGGUCAGGCGUGAUCUUCAUAGGACGGCUAAGGUGAUUCAGUUAGGCGUAGAUCUUUAUGGCAUGUAGUAUUGUCGGUUGUCGGAUCGUCUCUGUAAUCUUUCUCAUAAUUGUAAUAUCAUAAUAAAUCAGCGUUAAAAAAAAAAUACUCAUGAUAAUUCAUAAACUUAAGCCAAUCCCAUAUACAAUAUAAUUUUAUUAAAUAUAUUAUAUGUAACCUGCUAUUAAAAAAUAACUAGCCUUCUAUUUUAAAUAUUCUAUCCAAAUAACUAAUUGCUUUUAGUUAAAAAAAUAUCCUUUGUAUAUGUUUUUUUUUUUGAUGACCGUGGGGUUCCCAGGCGGUAAGCCCAGACUAAUCUCCACGAGGCCUUCCAUCCGGGUACGCACGGUUAUAGGCGGGAAGGUGGCCAAGGCGACUCGAACCCAGGGCGGGCACUGCAGCCGGAGUUCCAAUACCACUAGGCCAAGAGCUUUUGGUUUCCUUUGUAUAUGUUGCUAAAUAAUUUUUGGAAGAGAAGGAAACAACGGCAAAAGUUGAGGAUAUAAACCACAGUUUAUAUGGAUGUUAACGAAUGAAGCUUUCACAUCUGCAAAUUUACAAUAUGCAGAGAGUUUCUUCCCCGGCUUUGCAGAUGUGAGUUUGAUAUGUUCCAUCACGAUGUUAUGACACCCUUGAUUUUCAUCACAGUCUAGCUUUAUUGCAAUUUUACUUGCUGAAGUCCCUUCAAUAUAUCUGAAUGUUACGUCGCUUACUUUCACCGCAUUCCCCUGCAAUAUUCAUAAAACAUAUGUGCAUUCAAUAAAAAAUAUGAAUUGAACGUAAAACUCAUACCUAGAGGAAAACUAUUGUACGAUUUGCACAUUUAUCUUUUAGCAAAAAAAAAAUGUUUUGCACACUUAUGUCGUGAUCGUAAGAUACCAAAGGUGAAGCAUAUUGUAAUUUAGUCAUAUGGUUUUAUUACCAAUUGGUUAGUACAGUAACAAUAUUUCAUCGAAUUUGAUUUAUCAUCUAUUUAAGAUGUCUAGUUUGCAAGACUAGAUGUAAAAAAAAAACUUAGCUUAUAGUAUAUAGGUUUAUAUGUGAUUUGUAUACAGAAUUCUAGUAAAAAUUAAUAUAGUUUGAAUAUUACCUUGACAUGACCAGUGCCACCAUUAGAGUAAUGUUGAUCGAUGAUUAUGGGGUAUUUAGUAUUUGUUACCGUAAUAUUUUCAAAUAAUAUAUUCUUGGCUAACCCUUUUCCUCCCUAAAAUAUGCAAGGUUCAAUAUUAUAUAUAUUCUUCAGAAGAAUAUAAUAUUUUGGUUGCAAAAAAAUUUACAUGCCAAGUCUUGAUUCUUGCCCCAUUUUGAGUUCCCCAAAAGCUGCAGCUUCUUACGAUCACGUUCUCAACAGUGUCAUCUAUAUCACCUUUGCCCAAACUUCCAAUGCUGCGUUUUAUUUUGAAUUUUUAAGACAUAAUAAACAAGUUAAUGUUUUUUUUUUGAACAAAAUAAACAAGAUACGGAUAAACAAGUUAAUGUUUAAAAUAAUUUUCAUGAAACAAGUAAAAUACGGAUGAAUUUGAAUCUCUUUGUGCUGUUAUAUCUAGAAACCUGAUACCAUGACCUGGACCACAUGCCACACGAGUAAUGUUGAUGUCGGAAGAACCACCACGCUCACCAGUAAUUGCAAUACAAUCAUCACCUAAUAUGUAUGUAGGAAAUAUAACGACACAUAAAGAAGGAGUUUAUCAUACAUUUUCUCAAAUCCAGUCCAUGUAAUGUAAACAAAACUCAUUUUCAAAUUCAAAUAAAAAGAAGAAUUAAAGAGUACCAGUUUGGAUAGACGAGUCUAAGAUACGAAUAUUGUGUGAAAGAGAAAUACCAAUGCCGUCAGUGUUUGGACUCUUCUCGGGUGCUAGCAAAGUAAGAUUUGAUAAAGUUGCAUUGGUGCAACCAUAGACUGAAAUGUGAUUCUUUGGACUAUUGUAUUGAGUUAGCCCAUUAUAUAUUAUGUCGGUGCAUUGCUUAAAGCUAAGUGUCUGCACAUGCAACACAACAGAAUAAUGUAUAUUACUGUAAAAUUUACUACAUUGUUAUAUAUAAAGAGUGAAAAGGAUUAUGGUGGAAAGUGACCUACUCUGGGUCGUUUAGAGUGACGAACAGAUCGCCACCAAGUUUCUCCAUGGGGGUCAAGGACACCUGAGCCGUUGAUGAAGAGACUUUCCACGUUCUUGAACAUUAACCAACUCUCAGUUCGUUUGUUUCCCCACUGUUUUGGUCUCUUCGGCGCUUCUAUUUUCCCAUCGAUCUUACCCCAGAAAAAUAAAUUAUACAUGUAUGUGAAUAUGUGAAUCAUGUAAUACAUGUGUAUAUGUGUGAAUGGAUAACAAUUUUUGCAUGUGGUAUGUGGAUAUCUUCAUAUAAAUCAGUUGGAUUUAUAACGUGUUCAGAGUACCUGAAUAUGAAUGUAAGAAGAUACGCAUGGACCUUCAAACAGUUGUGGUUGUAUAGUGUAUUUUUCAUUCUCAUUUAUCACUAGCGAUGACCCGCCAGUCCCUUCACCUUCACCUUCGCAUAACCCUUUCCAUGCUUUUUGAAAUACCUUUUUUAAAAUGAUAAAUUUAACAUAUUACGUUUGUUCUUCUGACAAGAAUCUAACUACAGAUCAAUAGUUAUAACAGAUCAAUUACUUGUGAAUAAUCAACGUUUUUAUGGUUAGUAUCAGUUAUGAAAUCUUUGAUCCUUAGAAUCCUCCGGCCAUCUCCGUAUUCCAGAUGACACGAUACAAUUAUAAUCAUUGAGAAUAAUGUUUUCAAACACUUCAUAGUAAAAGAAAAUAUGGGACAAUUGUAUGUAUAUGUUUAAAUAAAAUGAGAAAAUGAUAAAAGAAAAUCAAUGGGAAAGAAAAGGUAUUGUAUCACCAUUUGAAUAUUGUCUUGAAGAUANNNNNNNNNNNNNNNNNNNNNNNNNNNNNNNNNNNNNNNNNNNNNNNNNNNNNNNNNNNNNNNNNNNNNNNNNNNNNNNNNNNNNNNNNNNNNNNNNNNNNNNNNNNNNNNNNNNNNNNNNNNNNNNNNNNNNNNNNNNNNNNNNNNNNNNNNNNNNNNNNNNNNNNNNNNNNNNNNNNNNNNNNNNNNNNNNNNNNNNNNNNNNNNNNNNNNNNNNNNNNNNNNNNNNNNNNNNNNNNNNNNNNNNNNNNNNNNNNNNNNNNNNNNNNNNNNNNNNNNNNNNNNNNNNNNNNNNNNNNNNNNNNNNNNNNNNNNNNNNNNNNNNNNNNNNNNNNNNNNNNNNNNNNNNNNNNNNNNNNNNNNNNNNNNNNNNNNNNNNNNNNNNNNNNNNNNNNNNNNNNNNNNNNNNNNNNNNNNNNNNNNNNNNNNNNNNNNNNNNNNNNNNNNNNNNNNNNNNNNNNNNNNNNNNNNNNNNNNNNNNNNNNNNNNNNNNNNNNNNNNNNNNNNNNNNNNNNNNNNNNNNNNNNNNNNNNNNNNNNNNNNNNNNNNNNNNNNNNNNNNNNNNNNNNNNNNNNNNNNNNNNNNNNNNNNNNNNNNNNNNNNNNNNNNNNNNNNNNNNNNNNNNNNNNNNNNNNNNNNNNNNNNNNNNNNNNNNNNNNNNNNNNNNNNNNNNNNNNNNNNNNNNNNNNNNNNNNNNNNNNNNNNNNNNNNNNNNNNNNNNNNNNNNNNNNNNNNNNNNNNNNNNNNNNNNNNNNNNNNNNNNNNNNNNNNNNNNNNNNNNNNNNNNNNNNNNNNNNNNNNNNNNNNNNNNNNNNNNNNNNNNNNNNNNNNNNNNNNNNNNNNNNNNNNNNNNNNNNNNNNNNNNNNNNNNNNNNNNNNNNNNNNNNNNNNNNNNNNNNNNNNNNNNNNNNNNNNNNNNNNNNNNNNNNNNNNNNNNNNNNNNNNNNNNNNNNNNNNNNNNNNNNNNNNNNNNNNNNNNNNNNNNNNNNNNNNNNNNNNNNNNNNNNNNNNNNNNNNNNNNNNNNNNNNNNNNNNNNNNNNNNNNNNNNNNNNNNNNNNNNNNNNNNNNNNNNNNNNNNNNNNNNNNNNNNNNNNNNNNNNNNNNNNNNNNNNNNNNNNNNNNNNNNNNNNNNNNNNNNNNNNNNNNNNNNNNNNNNNNNNNNNNNNNNNNNNNNNNNNNNNNNNNNNNNNNNNNNNNNNNNNNNNNNNNNNNNNNNNNNNNNNNNNNNNNNNNNNNNNNNNNNNNNNNNNNNNNNNNNNNNNNNNNNNNNNNNNNNNNNNNNNNNNNNNNNNNNNNNNNNNNNNNNNNNNNNNNNNNNNNNNNNNNNNNNNNNNNNNNNNNNNNNNNNNNNNNNNNNNNNNNNNNNNNNNNNNNNNNNNNNNNNNNNNNNNNNNNNNNNNNNNNNNNNNNNNNNNNNNNNNNNNNNNNNNNNNNNNNNNNNNNNNNNNNNNNNNNNNNNNNNNNNNNNNNNNNNNNNNNNNNNNNNNNNNNNNNNNNNNNNNNNNNNNNNNNNNNNNNNNNNNNNNNNNNNNNNNNNNNNNNNNNNNNNNNNNNNNNNNNNNNNNNNNNNNNNNNNNNNNNNNNNNNNNNNNNNNNNNNNNNNNNNNNNNNNNNNNNNNNNNNNNNNNNNNNNNNNNNNNNNNNNNNNNNNNNNNNNNNNNNNNNNNNNNNNNNNNNNNNNNNNNNNNNNNNNNNNNNNNNNNNNNNNNNNNNNNNNNNNNNNNNNNNNNNNNNNNNNNNNNNNNNNNNNNNNNNNNNNNNNNNNNNNNNNNNNNNNNNNNNNNNNNNNNNNNNNNNNNNNNNNNNNNNNNNNNNNNNNNNNNNNNNAGGCACAGUCGUCCCUUAAUCACAGACCACGAAAACGCAAUCAGCAACCAAUCCUUCACCACACCAGCCACAUUCAUAGUCAACGCCGACGUUUUCCCAACCAACAGAAACACAGCAAGAUUCAACGCGAAGGCACACACAGAGUUCGUCCCAAACACAACGAAAUCGAAAUGAAAGCUCGACGUCUCCCUAAGAACCGGCAACUCAACGAAGAUCCAAGGGAAAAACAAAAACCCCAAACAGCAAGGCGCCACGUAAUACAAAGAUGUAAUCGGAUUGAGAUUGAUUCCUUUAGAGGUAAGCAAGAUCUGAAUCAACACAAGCCUCGUCGCCUCGAAGGCCACCGCCCCGAGCUGAAGCAUCACUCCCCAGGUAUCGAACUUCGCCUCUCCGUAGGCAGCGAUCGCUACUCCGAACGAGAUCGAGAGCAUGUUCGUCAUCGUCUCAGAUCUGAACGACUCCUUCUUCAGCAAGACGCCGAUCGAGUAAACGGCGACAGGCAUGAGGGCUUUGAGCAUCUGGAUGAAGGAGACGGAGAGGUAGAUGUAGGCGGAGUUCGAUAGCCAGAGGGAGAGCGAGUACAAGGCCCCGAUCGGGACGACGGAUCUGAGGUAAGUCUCGCGGGACAUUGACACCGGCUCGACGACCUUGAAGACCUUGAUGAGGAGGACGGCGAGGGAGGAGCAGAAGGCCAUGUGGAUCAUGGUGAGAGUGAUGGGGAAAGGCCAGUUGUACAUCUUCUUGUCGAGGAUGUACUUGUUGUAGACGAUGACGGUGAAGCUGAGGAAGAUCCAGAUCGCGACGUAGGUGUAGGAGAGGAUGAUCUUCUUGAUGACUCCAUCGCUUAGGGCGCCGCCUUUUCCCAUUGUGGCUGGUGGUGGCUUUCGACGGAGGAUGAGGGAGGAGGAGGAGGAGGAGGUGCGUAGGAUAGCGUCGAGGGUGCAGGAUAAAAGGGGGAGUGGAGAGGAGACUUUUUGGUGUGGUGUUAAUGUAGAGAGAGAGAGAGGGUUGGCAUGACUGGGCUACGCUACGUGGCUUUAAUGUUACUUUUUUUUUAAUUGACUAAUGGGCUUAGAUCUGGGGCCCAUUAAAAAUUCUCCCUCGCUAUUAUUUUUGAUUUUUUUAAAUGUAUAAUAGUGUUUGUUAUUCACUUUUACCAAAUUUAAUUAAUUUUUAAUUUAUGUUUAGAUUACAUCCUUAAAUAUGUUUGCUUAUUUAAAAAUUAUUUUAUUAAUUUCAAUGUUUUAUUUUAAUUACAUACUAUAACAUUUUAUGUGGAUGUGAUGUGGGAUAUUUUUAGUAUGACUAAAGUUACAGUUAUUGAUAGGCAAUGUUCUUGUACCUGUAAAAAUGUAUUUAAAUGAUUCAUACUAGUCAAUAUUUCCUUCAAAUUUCCAUUUUACGACACCUUAGUAUACUGUUUAUCAAUAAGACUAUUACUAUGUUAUUUUUCUGAAUUUGAUCGGGAUCCAUUGUCUACUUCAACAUUUACCUUUAUCAACAUUUACAUUAAAUAUUGUAUUAUUCACAUUGAUGUUUCUAGUCUUGCCUAACAUUAACUACUGGUCUUCAGACUGUUAGGUUAUGUUUUUUUUUUUUUUUUUUUGAAUUGAAACUGUUAGGUUAUGUUGAUUGACAAAACAUAAAUUAUUGAUAAAAGAAUUGGAGGGUGGCAACUUUUUUUUUUUUUUUGUCACAGGGAGGGUGGCAACUUAAUUUUUAAAAGUAUGGCGUUGUUAAGAAGAGCUGAUGAUGACAGUUGGUUCUAACCUAAAGUCUUUAUUAUUCUUUGUCUUUGAGCUGAUAAGAGAUACUCAUGAUAAUUAAUGCUAUGACUAAGGGUUCAUCAGUUACAGGUUUCAAUUCCCGGAGAAACUGAUUUAUUAAACAAUUAUGCAGGCUACAGAAGAAAAGUUUACAAGGGAUUUUCAACAUGGUGCAAGUAAACUCGGUCAGGCGUGAUCUUCAUAGGACGGCUAAGGUGAUUCAGUUAGGCGUAGAUCUUUAUGGCAUGUAGUAUUGUCGGUUGUCGGAUCGUCUCUGUAAUCUUUCUCAUAAUUGUAAUAUCAUAAUAAAUCAGCGUUAAAAAAAAAAUACUCAUGAUAAUUCAUAAACUUAAGCCAAUCCCAUAUACAAUAUAAUUUUAUUAAAUAUAUUAUAUGUAACCUGCUAUUAAAAAAUAACUAGCCUUCUAUUUUAAAUAUUCUAUCCAAAUAACUAAUUGCUUUUAGUUAAAAAAAUAUCCUUUGUAUAUGUUUUUUUUUUUGAUGACCGUGGGGUUCCCAGGCGGUAAGCCCAGACUAAUCUCCACGAGGCCUUCCAUCCGGGUACGCACGGUUAUAGGCGGGAAGGUGGCCAAGGCGACUCGAACCCAGGGCGGGCACUGCAGCCGGAGUUCCAAUACCACUAGGCCAAGAGCUUUUGGUUUCCUUUGUAUAUGUUGCUAAAUAAUUUUUGGAAGAGAAGGAAACAACGGCAAAAGUUGAGGAUAUAAACCACAGUUUAUAUGGAUGUUAACGAAUGAAGCUUUCACAUCUGCAAAUUUACAAUAUGCAGAGAGUUUCUUCCCCGGCUUUGCAGAUGUGAGUUUGAUAUGUUCCAUCACGAUGUUAUGACACCCUUGAUUUUCAUCACAGUCUAGCUUUAUUGCAAUUUUACUUGCUGAAGUCCCUUCAAUAUAUCUGAAUGUUACGUCGCUUACUUUCACCGCAUUCCCCUGCAAUAUUCAUAAAACAUAUGUGCAUUCAAUAAAAAAUAUGAAUUGAACGUAAAACUCAUACCUAGAGGAAAACUAUUGUACGAUUUGCACAUUUAUCUUUUAGCAAAAAAAAAAUGUUUUGCACACUUAUGUCGUGAUCGUAAGAUACCAAAGGUGAAGCAUAUUGUAAUUUAGUCAUAUGGUUUUAUUACCAAUUGGUUAGUACAGUAACAAUAUUUCAUCGAAUUUGAUUUAUCAUCUAUUUAAGAUGUCUAGUUUGCAAGACUAGAUGUAAAAAAAAAACUUAGCUUAUAGUAUAUAGGUUUAUAUGUGAUUUGUAUACAGAAUUCUAGUAAAAAUUAAUAUAGUUUGAAUAUUACCUUGACAUGACCAGUGCCACCAUUAGAGUAAUGUUGAUCGAUGAUUAUGGGGUAUUUAGUAUUUGUUACCGUAAUAUUUUCAAAUAAUAUAUUCUUGGCUAACCCUUUUCCUCCCUAAAAUAUGCAAGGUUCAAUAUUAUAUAUAUUCUUCAGAAGAAUAUAAUAUUUUGGUUGAAUUUUUGAUGACCGUGGGGUUCCCAGGCGGUAAGCCCAGACUAAUCUCCACGAGGCCUUCCAUCCGGGUAUUCUUGCCCCAUUUUGAGUUCCCCAAAAGCUGCAGCUUCUUACGAUCACGUUCUCAACAGUGUCAUCUAUAUCACCUUUGCCCAAACUUCCAAUGCUGCGUUUUAUUUUGAAUUUUUAAGACAUAAUAAACAAGUUAAUGUUUUUUUUUUGAACAAAAUAAACAAGAUACGGAUAAACAAGUUAAUGUUUAAAAUAAUUUUCAUGAAACAAGUAAAAUACGGAUGAAUUUGAAUCUCUUUGUGCUGUUAUAUCUAGAAACCUGAUACCAUGACCUGGACCACAUGCCACACGAGUAAUGUUGAUGUCGGAAGAACCACCACGCUCACCAGUAAUUGCAAUACAAUCAUCACCUAAUAUGUAGGAAAUAUAACAACACAUAAAGAAGCCGUUUAUCAUACAUUUUCUCAAAUUCAGUCCAUGUAAUGUAAACAAAACUUGUUUUCAAAUUUAAAUAAAAAGAAGAAUUAAAGAGUACCAGUUUGGAUAGACGAGUCUAAGAUACGAAUAUUGUGUGAAAGAGAAAUACCAAUGCCAUCAGUGUUUGGACUCUUCUCGGGUGCUAGCAAAGUAAGAUUUGAUAAAGUUGCAUUGGUGCAACCAUAGACUGAAAUGUGAUUCUUUGGACUAUUGUAUUGAGUUAGCCCAUUAUAUAUUAUGUCGGUGCAUUGCUUAAAGCUAAGUGUCUGCACAUGCAACACAACAGAAUAAUGUAUAUUACUGUAAAAUUUACUACAUUGUUAUAUAUAAAGAGUGAAAAGGAUUAUGGUGGAAAGUGACCUACUCUGGGUCGUUUAGAGUGACGAACAGAUCGCCACCAAGUUUCUCCAUGGGGGUCAAGGACACCUGAGCCGUUGAUGAAGAGACUUUCCACGUUCUUGAACAUUAACCAACUCUCAGUUCGUUUGUUUCCCCACUGUUUUGGUCUCUUCGGCGCUUCUAUUUUCCCAUCGAUCUUACCCCAGAAAAAUAAAUUAUACAUGUAUGUGAAUAUGUGAAUCAUGUAAUACAUGUGUAUAUGUGUGAAUGGAUAACAAUUUUUGCAUGUGGUAUGUGGAUAUCUUCAUAUAAAUCAGUUGGAUUUAUAACGUGUUCAGAGUACCUGAAUAUGAAUGUAAGAAGAUACGCAUGGACCUUCAAACAGUUGUGGUUGUAUAGUGUAUUUUUCAUUCUCAUUUAUCACUAGCGAUGACCCGCCAGUCCCUUCACCUUCACCUUCGCAUAACCCUUUCCAUGCUUUUUGAAAUACCUUUUUUAAAAUGAUAAAUUUAACAUAUUACGUUUGUUCUUCUGACAAGAAUCUAACUACAGAUCAAUAGUUAUAACAGAUCAAUUACUUGUGAAUAAUCAACGUUUUUAUGGUUAGUAUCAGUUAUGAAAUCUUUGAUCCUUAGAAUCCUCCGGCCAUCUCCGUAUUCCAGAUGACACGAUACAAUUAUAAUCAUUGAGAAUAAUGUUUUCAAACACUUCAUAGUAAAAGAAAAUGGGACAAUUGUAUGUAUGUUUAAAUAAAAUGAGAAAAUGAUAAAAGAAAAUCAAUGGGAAAGAAAAGGUAUUGUAUCACCAUUUGAAUAUUGUCUUGAAGAUAUAUUAUAUAACAUGUUUUUUUUUAAUGUUUUUGCGUGGUAUAGGUUAAUACAAUAGAUUUUUUUUUUACUAAAAUUAACAAAGAUUUGGAAAAUUUUGUAACUUGGAAUUACAGUGUAUUAUGUUGAUAGUAUAUGUGUAUAUUUAUAUGUUAACUUGAGACUCAAACAGUCUUAUGAUAUUUUUGAUUACUUGUCAAAAUGUCAAGAUUAAAAACAAUUAGAACUAUUCUGAGAUACAUGCCACGUUCACAGUACAAUCUGAUAUCAUUUAAGAGGCUAACACAACAAAAGAUUAUAUACAAAUUUUAAGAAAACUAGAUUACUAUACACGAACAAGUCUACUCCGAACUUUAUAAAAAAAAACAAGAGUUAGUUCGGGAUCUUAAAAUUUUAGAAAACUGAUUGUAUUCAGAAAUUAGAACAUUAUCUGAAAAGCCUUAAUUUCUAUAUAACGAUGUGUAGAUUGUUAACUAAUAUAGUUUGCUUCAACAACUCUACUAUUAUUAACUAUAGAUUUUUAAAUAAUGAAGAUGAUAAAUAUUAAGAUAAAAAAUCUCUUUACAUAUUAAUCUUUGGUUUUUAGUUUAUAAAGUCGUUUUAGAUUAAUUGAACCUAUAUUUCUAAGUUAUGAUUAAAUAGUGAUGGAAACACAUAACUCAAUAAUAAUUAGUGUUGUAACCUAACCGCUUUCCAUUCUUCUAAACAGAAACACAUCCUUUCAAUUUUGUUUAUAAACUGUUAAAUGAAACCCAACAUAGCAAACAAAUGAUCAAUAACUCUUUGGGGUCAAUAACAAUGUGUCAGACCAACAAUGGGAAAGUAAUAGUAAGAAGUGAGUAAUGGCCCAUUACUAAUGGGUAAUAGAAUAUGUGAUCUCCAAACAGACACUAUGUUUCUCUAAGCUCAUAAACUGCUCAAAACAUUUACCUUCCUUUUAGCUCUGCAAAUCUGGCAGCCAAAUCCUCAUAGUCAGGUAACUUGGGGUGAACGUGCUUAGCUUCACUACGUUCUGGCUGAAACGAGGCGGCACGAGCAAACGUCUUUGCGGGUUCAGAUGGUCCGGCAAAUUGUUCACUGGGGAGACUGAGUGACCGAGCGGGAUGAUGAAUCUCUUCACCUUCUGCUUUUCUAUGAUGUGAACGUCUGCUUUUAGAUUCUUCAUAACUUGAAGGCUUUUUACUGUAAUGCAUCAGAAGUUUAUCCAUCAUCUUUUCCUCACUGUCCUUCUCAUCUUCAUCUACUAAGACUUGAAGGCCUUUCCUUGAGUGUUCCCUUCUUCUGCUGCUUCUUGUAUCAUCUCCAUCACCCGUUUGUACAAUGUGUUUUCUUCUACUAGAUCGCCGCUUCAGAGAUUGAUCAUCUCUGUCAUUCACUUGAUGCUGACCUGCUUCAGAAACCUUUUUAUCAGUGUCUGGACACUUUCCUUCUUCACCAUCAAACCGAGCCUUUGGAUAAGCUGAAGCUUCAGGUUUUUCAAUCUUUGCUUUACCAUUCGGUUUAACAUACGGAGGUGGGGGAAGGGACUUCAUCAUUCUCUCUGUUUCUCGCUCCUCAAACUUCCUUGCUGGAUCAUAUCCAUCUCCACCACCCUUGAUGUUACCAGCAGGUGAAUUUUUUUCUGUGCCCUCUCGCACAGGAACUGUGUUUUCUCUCCUCUCGUGAUCGCUGCGAUGUCUACGGACUGAAUCUAUAGAUGGUGUUCUUUUCGACCUUGGCUUUGGAGGCAUUGAGAGGUUAUCUUCUACUUUCUGAGGCGCAUGCUCUUCACCAUCCUCAUGUUUGUAGCCUUUGAAGAAACUUUCUUGCUUAAAGCCAAGAACUAACUUAUCUUCUGUUUUGGUGCUGCUACGCUUGUGUUUCUCUGUCACCUCUGUUUUCUUAGGCGCUGCAGCAGCUUCACCAUUUUGAUGUCCAACCCCUUGAACGAGAUUCUCACGUUUGAUCUUCAUCACUAUAGUGUCACCUUCGUUAAAAAUAGGUUGAGGUCUUCCUCUGGAAGAUUUGUGCUUAGGUUGCAAAUGGAACUCUUUUCUCUCUGCCCUGUCAUCCUUGAUAUCCGAUCUGGAGGCGUGACGAACAUCAUCUGACUUAUCUUUAGAUGCUAGCCCACGCUGAUGUUCUCUGAGACCAUUCUGAUAAUUAUCCGGUCGAAAGAAAGGAUCCCUUCUCUCUGAUGCAACAUCCUUUUUCCUUUCUGAUGGCAAGGCCACGCUUCCGUCUAAAGACUUGUGCUUCUCGUGAGUGGUAUCCUGUUCAUGACCAUGAGAAAAAUCAUAAAUCAGUCACGUUCCAAAUAUUUCAGGUUAUUGCCCCUUAAACCAAAUGAGUCAUUCGUCAUACCUUUACUGAACUACCAUUUUGCCUCAAGAUCCUCUUCUCAAAAGCUUUAGAAUCCCAACGAAUAGCAUACUCCGAUGCAACAUCUUCCAUCAACUUCACUUUCUUCUCCAAAGAAAAUGGCUUUGAUGUCAUAUUCUCAACAAGCUAUAAGAAAAAAACAAGUACGUGCUUAACCAUACAUGCUCAAUAAGAUUUCCAGAUGAGUUUAACUGAUAAAAAUAAAUACGUGAGAAAAAAAACUCUUACCUCUUGAUUGACAAACACACUAAGUGAAUCUGCGUACUUCUCGUGAAACAUCUGCCUCAGCUCACGCAGCUCAGGCAAUUCAGAAAAUCCAGCGGCUGCAAACAUUAACGACGACACAGCUUCACGACAAUCUUCUGGACAUUCCCUGGAAAAGCAAGCGCAAAUCAACUAAUCAAAACAAAACCAUGUUUCCACCAAGAACAAAGUACUUUUAAGUCUUUAACUAUCUUUGAGAAUGCUUAACUAAGCCACACAAAAAAUUACAUAUCACUAAAGAAACAUGAACAACGUGAGUAGGAAAACGCCAAAAAGAUGAGGUAAUGACUUUCGUUAUAUAUAAUCAAUAUUUAUAAACAAAAGUCCAAACAACCUGAUCUUGAUUCUUCAAUAUAAAACCUAACAAGUUGAUAUGCCAGAGAAUCUACAAGUAAAUUUCUCAUCUACUCAUAAGUAUGUUACAGCUAACUCAAGAAUCAUAAAAUAUUCUCAAAGCAAAAGCCAUUAACAGUCUUACUCCAUCUUCUGCAUCGUAGAGAGUUGCUUAUACACGAAAUCACAAGUGCUCUCGACGAAAUCAAGAUUCCAGAGAUGCCUUAGUUCAUCAAGAAGCCCUCCCGCCUGCAUAUCUCAAACGAUUAUCAUCAAAAAACCAAAUCUGAAUCCCUAAAUCAAUCCUUGUAACGAACGAUAACGUUACCCUGGUAUAAGCAUUGACGUCACGGCCAUUAGAGAUAAGAUCGGCAAAAUCUCCCUUGAGAAACUUGAUCGUGGCGGUCCUCUUCCUCCGAAGAACAUCGAUCCGAUUCUUCGUCAGUUUUAUCAGUGGCUUCCUGCCGAAUCAAAUCGCACGAUCGAAUCGAUUUCGCACAUUAAAAGAUUAAAGAGUUAAUCAGAGAGAAGAGAAGAGAAACAAAACCCCUUGGGAGCGAAUCCGCGGCCUAAGAUACCGUCAAACAUCGUAAGAUCGCUUCGCAACAACGACGGUUAAGAUUCCGAUUGUGAUCCGCCGGGAAACGGAAGCUCGAGUGAUAGAGAGAGAGAGAAUGGCGUUUUUCUUCAGCUGUGGGUUUUUAAAAUUGAAGGCAACCGCAUCUCAAGCUGAGUGGAGAACAUGAAGGUGGUGGUGAGAGACCUUAGUCCUUUAUUGAUACGACUACGUUUUGACCUUUUGGUGUUGUUAACGUUAUAAAGGGUAUUUUGGGGAAUUUAUUAUUUCUUUUUCCUUUUUAGGUGGUGAGUGAGUGAGGGAUCAAAUCGAUAACUUCUGCUAGCUGUUGUUGUUCUUCUAGUGGAAUUGGGUGGGAUGAUCUGGUACAAAUGGGUCCAAUCUCAUUGCAUGGAGUCUGUAGACCUGCACCAAUAAAUGAAUUUAAUUCACCGACGGCUUUAUUUUAAAGCUUUUUCUUUAACCGAUUUUCUCUCUUUUGUCAGAAAUGUUUUUUUUGGUCUAAUUUUGUCGGGAAAUGUUUGUAAAAUAUUUUACAUUUGUUUCGUUUUUCUUUUGUCAACACAUUUGUUUUCGAUUCAUUUUUGUAAACUGGAUUUGAUAUUACGGUUUAUGCAUUAGUAAAUGUUUUCAACUUGUUAUAUGUAUUAACAAACAAAUUAAUAUGUUGACUAAUAUGUGGACAUCAAAAAACAUCAUUGCUAAUUGUCCUAAUCCAUCGUCUGUUAUUUAAUUCCUCAUCGAUUAUUUAAAGAGAGAAUAACUCUUGUGUCCAUGUUCUUGAUUUGAUUAAGGCCGUGGAAACCGGCUAAAGAUGCGAAGGAUUUCGCCUUUAAGCCUAUCUGUUUAGGCAGAAUCAAAUUCCCUUAAUCCACUUACUUACGUGCUUCCGUGUCCAAUCAAAUUUAGAGCUGUAAAAUGGUUGGGCUGUCCAAUGGAUGUCCAUGUUCAAAUAUAUUUGGGUUUCCAUUAGUUAUACCAAUAUUUCUAGAUGAGUUUUAAAUGGUCAAAACUGGGAAACCAAUUAAUCUAUGGUUGUUUGUGGAUUUGGUUAAUACGGACAUGGGCGGCCCAAUUAAAAAAAAAUUUAGGGUUUCCAAAAUUUGGAGAAAAAUUGGAAAAUUUCAUUUCAUAGUGAAAGAGAGUUUAUGCGACUUCUUUGGCGAUUUUGGUGAUUGAAACUUGGUUCCAUCGGAGAAAUUGAGUUUUUCCGCCAAAACCGCAAAAUCAAGUUUUCCCACCAAAACCGCAAAAUCGAGUUUUCCUGCCAAAACCGCAAAAUCGAGUUUCCUGCAAAAUCGAGUUUUUCCGCUAAAACCGCAAAAUCGAGUUUUCUGAAAAAUCGAGUUUUUCUGCCAAAACCAGAAAAUCGAUUUUCCCCGUCAAAACCGCAAAAUCGAGUUUUCCCGCCGAAACCGGAAAAUCGAGUUUUCCCGCCAAAACCGGAAAAUCGAGUUUUCCCGCCGAAACCGCAAAAUCGAGUUUUCCCGCCGAAACCGCAAAAUCGAGUUUUCCCACCGAAACCGCAAAAUUGAGUCUUCCCGCUGAAACCGCAAAAUCGAGUUUUCCACCAAAACCAGAAAAUCGAGUUUUUCCGCCAAAACCGGAAAAUCGUGUUCUACCAAAACCAAAAAAUCGAGUUUUCUUGCCAAACCCGAAAAAUUGAGUUUUCCCGCCAAAACCGUAAAAUCGAGUUUUCCCGUCAAAACCGUAAAAUCGAGUUUUCCCGCCAAAACCGAAAAAUCGAGUUUUCCUUGCAAGAUUGGAAAAUCGAGUUUGUCCGUCAAAACCUCAAAAUCGAGUUUUCUGCCAAAACUGUAAAAUUUGUAGGCUUAUAGAUAAAAAAUAUAAAAAUUUCUUAUAUUGUCCAUUAUGGAUUUCAUGGCAGCCCAUGUAAACAUGGGUGUUAGCGGGUCUGGUCUUUAAUGGACAUGGUUCCUAAUGGAUAUGGUGAUUCUUUGUCCACAAACAAUAAAUGGAUAUGUGCUAAUGUACGGCUCUAAUCAAAUUACAUUAAAAUACUUUCUGACAAGAAUAAUGAUCCUUUUUAGACAGGAAUAAUGAUUCUUAAAAAAAAAGGAAUAAUGAUUCUUUUUUAGACAAGAAUAAUCAAAUUUAAACCAAAUUCCACAAUUCAAUCUAAAUUUGAGUUGAUUUGUUUUUUAAUGAGGUUUUAUAUGAUUUUGAGGAAUUACAGAGAAUAAAAUAAUUUUUGUUAAACCACUCUAGAAUAUCAUAUAAAACCAUGAGAUUUGAGUUUUAAUUUUUUUUAACCAAGAAACUCCACCCAAACACUCUAAAAUCACUUUAAAACUUUAAAACUCCACGACUUAAAAUACUUUGCAAUAACAAUGGAUUUCAGAGUACCUUAUAAAAUGUCAAGUUCAAUAACACUGGAUUUUAAAUGAGUUUUUAAAAUUCAUGUUUCAAUAACAGUAAAUUUGUCAUUUUGACACAAAUCACCUAAAACUUUCAAUUCAAUACAUCCCCCUUAGUCUCACUCUAUAUACUUCUAAUUAACAAAGUAGUAGAAUUUAGCCAAUUAUUCUCCCCCUCUCGUAAAUAUUACUUUUAAAAAAUAUACUAUUAAAAUAUAAAUUUAAAAUGAGUUAACUAACUAUAAAUAAUACGGUAAAAUAUUAUUGAUCAACCAAUUUUCAAUAAAAUUAAAAUAAUAUUAAAAGUAGAAAAAUUACAUCGAACAUAUUUUAAAACAUCUUAUAUAAUGGAACAAAAAGAAUGUUUCUUUUUUGGUUUGAUGAAAAACUGCUUUAAAAUAUUUAUAUUUUUUCUAAUAUUUUCAGUUCAUUUUGGUUUGUUAUAAAACGAUCUCAAAUAUAUUCAUCUAUUUUAACUUUAAAAUAAAGUAAUUCUAAAAUAGGUUAACUCUAAAGUAAUGAUAUAUUUUUAUUUUUUAUUUUGAAAAGGAAUAAUUUUAAAAUAUUCUUUCUAUUUUACAACUAGUUCCUUUUGUUAAAUUAAUUUAAUUACUUUUAACUUUUAUAAGAUUUUUAUAAAAUUAUAACUUUGUUUAAACUAAAAUUAAAAAGAUUAUUAUGUAAAUAAAAAAUGUGAUUCUAUUUUUAUAAAAAGUAUAUUUCUCUAAAAAGUAUUUUUUAGUUAUAAAUAAAAUUUAAAAGUUAAAUGACUUUUUGAAAAUAAAAAAGUAUGAUUUUAAAGUUAAAAAUGCUAUUUUAACUCUAUAAUUAGAAAAAGAAAUAGCAAUAUGUUAUACUAAGAAAAAAAUAGAGAUGAGUUGGAACAUAUUCUUCUCUAUUAUAAUAUUUAAAAUUGAAAAUAUCAAUGAGUUGAAAAUGCUCUGAUAUAUAUAUAUAUNNNNNNNNNNNNNNNNNNNNNNNNNNNUAUAUAUAUAUAUAUAUAAUUUUGGACUCUACUGGAAGUUAUAAUGGCUAAAAUUUGUUUAUAAAUUCAAGGAUGUGAAUAUGAAUAUUUAGAACUUUGGGAUCAAUUUGAAAGGAAUAACAAAUAGCGGGGAUGAUAAGAACAUAUACUCCAUGAUAUUUUCAGUCUCAUAAAUAUCUUUCAUCUCCUCUCACACACACUCCACUAAAAAAGAAGAUUACCAAAAAUGAUCCUGAGAAGCGCGUCGUCACUGGACCUUAACAUACGCGCUGCCCAAAAAUCCCCAGCUCCACGGUGUGCAAACGGAGCUCGCGUGGCAACGACGGCUCGUCCCGUCUCCGCUUCUCGCCGAGGAUGUAAGUCGAUGCCCAGAGCUUCUUCAGAUGGAAACCUCCACGAGAAGAGAGCGAUACAGAGCAGAGCCAAAACGCCCAGCGUCAACCACGACGACGCGUCGUCUUCCAGGGUCUUGGAGAGAUCAAGGCUCCACCAAGGAGGUUCUAACGGUGGAUUUGGCGGUAGAGGUGGAGACGGUGGAGACGGUGGUGCCGGAGGUCACGGCGGAGGGGGAGGUGGAGGUGGGAGCGUUGAUGGUUACUACGAAGAGAUGAUACAGCGUUAUCCUGGAGAUGCUCUUCUUCUCGCUAACUACGCUCGUUUCCUCAAAGAGGUAUACAUACACAUACACUUACAGGGACAAGAUAAAGACAAAACUAAACUACAUAGUGUAAUGAGUUUAAUUAACACUUGGACUUUGGUCUAUAUUAUUUUUCGUCGAUCUUUGUGCAAAAUUUUGGGGUUUUAAGAGUCUUAACAUUUUUACAAAAUAAAAAAUAAAAAAAUUGUGUAUUAAUAUUGUGCAGGUGAAGGGUGAUGAGAGAAAAGCAGAGGAGUACUGUGAGAGAGCGAUGUUGUCUGAGGAUGGGAGAGAUGGUGAGAUGCUGUCUAUGUAUGGAGAUUUAAUAUGGAUAAAUCAUGGAGACGGUGCUCGUGCUCAGUCUUACUUUGAUCAAGCUGUUCAAUCUUCUCCUGAUGACUGGUGAGUAGAAACAUAACUAUAUUUGUUACAGUUCAGUAUCUGCUUAGAACCCUGAUGAUUUACAUGUAAGGAAAGUCUCUAACUUUGGAUUUGGGUUUUCCUUAAGGUAUAUCCAAGACGCAAACCUCACAAGUUUUUAAUCCAUUUUUGGUAGAUUGCUGAGUAUUUGUUAGAACCAGUUUUAUUGAUUGUUUCAGAGGAAUGGUUUUGUUGAAAGGGAAUAGUAAGAUAACAUUUCACGUAAAUGAUUUUGUGGAUCAAAUGUGAUUCGCUCUAUAUCCAACAUUUGAAGAAGUUGAUUGGUCACGUUAUUGAAAAUGACAGACAUCUCAUUCUCGAUUUUUCCUAUCUGCAUCUCUGCAUCUUCAAUGUUUAUGUGGUGUGGCAGUAGUUGAUACAUUACAUCAUCAUCAUAAAUAUAGAUCUAAUACAUUUGAUUAAUUGUUUUAUGGCAGUCAUGUUCUUGCCUCAUAUGCUCGGUUUUUAUGGGAUACUGAAGAAGAAGGAGAAGAAGAGGAAGAGGAGGAAGAAAGUAAAUAUGAGAAUGGUUUCUCUACCUAUAACCCAUCUGUGUCAGUCAUGUCCUGACCCUUGGUACUGAUCUUAAAUAACAAUUUGAAAUCCGGUUUAAUCAUAAAAUAUCUUGUGCCAUUGAGAUAGAUUGAUGCUUAUGUGUUGGAAAAGACGAACCAAGUAUCAAAACUCCAAAGACGCAUUAUAGUGUGAUAUUUCAAAGAAGAUAAAAGUGGUUUGUGUCCAUAGGCUUAGAGCUAAAAAGGUGUGAAUUGGGAUUGGUCAUGGGCUCUGGAUAGAAUCAAUUAUUGGUUGUCAAAAAUAAAAUCAAUUAUUGAUCAAUGGUUGCUAGAGACGUCUUUGUGUCGAUGCAUGCAUGAAAUGAACUUUUAUCGUUGCAAUUUGCAAUAAGGAAAUGAACCUUUUUGUGUUUAUAUCAAGAAAUUAUUUUUUCUUUAUGCAAGAAUGUUUACUAAAAUUUUCUUUCUACACCUUCACGCAUGUUGUUAGACUGUCAAAAUCUAUACUCCAUGUUUACUAUGUUAAAGAUGAUCCAACUAUAACAAAGAUAAAGAAUACACUGAGCAUACGAAGAAAAUCUCCUGAAUAUUCACUUUUAGAAAUCAAAACAUCAAAAAGAAAAAGAUCUUGACAUCAAAAUACAACAUAAAAUUUAAGCAAAAAAAAAAAAAAACAUAAAAGAUUAAAAACAUUACACCAUCAAACAUAGAAACAUAUAAAAAAGCAACACCCUUUAGAACCAAACACAAUGAUUCUUUUCACUCUUUUACCCAUUUCUUCUCAAACAAGUUUUGGUCGAAGAUAUAUAUAACUAUUACAUGCUUUCUUUUCCUCUUGUCCUCCUUAAUUAAUGCAGAGCUCUUUAUGCUCAACAGCAACCGCUUCAGAUAUCUCAAUGGUCUCGGCUCUGUCUUCAUCCACCCUUGGAGAUACAACCUUAUCCGCCGAGUCUUCUUCUCCAUCAGCUUUGGGUGACGCAGUCACUUGUGUUACCUCUUCUAUGGGAGUUGAUGACUGGUUUUGGGUUUCUGCUUCUUUUUCAAGUUUCUUUCUUUCAGGUUUCACCUUUGCUGAGGUUGUGGCAACGGGGAGAGCUGUUUUCUGAGAUGGCAAUCUUGGAAGUGACUUGCGCAAUGGUUGCUUCUUGGGAUCAACUGUUGCCACAGUUCCCUUAGCAGCUGGGUGAUCUCUAGAGGUUUUCUCAUCUAGGCUCAACCUACCGAUGCGAGGGGUUUGAGUUUCUUCAGAAUCAGUCUUCUUUCUCCCGAGUUUCGGAGAUUUGGGCCUUGUUGGUGGUAUCUACAAUAACAAUGAGAAUUAGUAUUUGAUUAAAAAAGUGAGAGAUUAUGGUUUGAGAAGAGAGGAGAAGUAGAUACCUUCUUUAACUCUGUUUUAGGGGGCUGAGAAAAGCUAGGCAUGGGUGUGGCUUUGAAGUUCAAGCUCUUCCUCAGCUUCCUAAGCUCAGCUUCUUCUGUUUCCUGUGAGCGAGCCACGAGUUUUUUGUUUUAACAAGAAGUAGGUCGAGAAUAUACUAUGACAAAGAAGAGGGUUUAGAAGACAAACCUUGGACUUGGCUUGCAUGUUGUUAAUCUCCUCUUCUUUCGCAUGAGUUUUUUCCUCAAGCUUAACAUAGAACUGUGCACAAACGCAGAAACAUGAUUUGUUUUAAAACAUGUUUGUGGAGAUAGGACAAAGUAUAUUGAAUCAGAAGUUCAAGCACACAAACCUCUCUUCUCUUCUCAGCCCGUUGGUCACAUUUGAAACUGAAUCCAUAAUUUGGAAGUGCACCAACUUUACGAGGUUUGCCAUCGUCUGCCUUGGGGCUACUAUGGAAACCAGAAAGUCAAAAUCAACAUAAAUGCAGAAUUGCCUCAAGCUUGCCACAAGAAAGAAGAGAUGGUAAAGAUAAAAGGUGAAAGAAAAUACUUAGAAGACUGAGUAUCAUCUUCAGAUGUCUCAUGGGUUUGUUUCUUUUGAGGCUUUGGUUUCACCUUGUCCCUGUAUCAAAGAGAGUAAGAAAUCUCCAGGUUUCAACGAUUGUUAAAAGGACAAAAUGACUAAAUGAGAAGACUUAUAAGAUAUAACCAAUGUAUAAUCUAAUAUAUGGAAGUUAUUGAACUCUAGCAAAAGUUCAAGUUUUAUGGAAAGGAACUCUGAUUUCAAAAAUGAGGACUCAGUACCCGGUGGCGCUUUCAGCUGGUGCAGAGUCUUGCUUUCCAUGCUGAUAUGAAGAAAUCAUCAGCUUGAAAUAAGAACAAGGUCACACAAGAAUAUGCAAAUAAACCUAGAAGCAAGAGAUAAGUACCUCCGUGACGUGAGCCGCUCUGCCAUUGAGUGAUGUGCUUUUUAGAGACUUUGUUGUAGGUGCUUUAGGAGCAACAGAAGUUACAGAACCAUUUGAUGCUGCCACUUUAACAGUUGCAUCUUUUUUCUCUUUCUUCUUUUUGAUAUGUACCGAUGGAACACUCUUACCACCUGAGAGUUUCUCAUGCUUAAGCUUCUUUUCGCCUUUAACAUGCUCUUGAUCUUCUACAUUUACACCUUGUGUGACCUAAAAUAGUAAAAGAGACAAAAACACAAAUGUUAAUCAUAGCCAUUUAUCUAACGGACGAGUAGACAAACCAUCCAAGAGUUACAAACCUCAGCUGCUGUCUCUUUGGGCUGUUCAACUGCAUCCAAAUUGGAACUAUCUCCUGAAUUCUCAUUCUGACUAUCCGAAGUAGUAUCCAACGUCUCGCCAGAUUCAACACCAACAUCUUCCACUGCUACACCACCAUUUGCAAGAGCAGAGUCCGUCCCAUCAGCAGCCAUGACACUUUCCGGAUCCAUAGUAAACUACAAAACAACAAAGAUGGAGUUCACACUGAUAUAAGUGAAGAAGCAGAAAAGAUUAUGAACAGAAAUAUUAAGAAAAUUUUACCUAAAAAAGCAUUCACUUAAAAUUAACACAAACUUGAAACCAGGCAUUGUAAUGUAAAACAAUCAAAAGACAACAAACAUGUUUCACCAAAAUCAAAUCAAAGUGCUUUUGUAGGGUUUAUGAAGUGAAACAACACAUAUCAGUGACCAAGACUCAAGCUACAACAUUUUAGAAGUGUUGAACAUCAAAAGCACUCUUCUUGUCCAAUACCCAAAGGCUUCAGCUACUCAUAAGUAAAUGGAUUCGUACAAAACCAGGUCACCAGGUCGAUCAAAUUAAAGACAAAACCUACUCACUUAGCUUACUCAUCCAUAACUAACUGAUCUACGUAAACAAAUCAGAGAAACACAAAUUUAAUCUGGAAUUUAAAAAAAAAAAAGCAAAUCUAAAUCUUGUGGUACUGAGCUCACUAGUGAUGGCAGUUUCAACUUUGGAUCUACCGACACUCUAAACCAAGCAAUGAAAAACGAACAAAGUAGAUAACUUUCCUCAGAAGUUCCGCCAUUUUUUUCACAGCAACCAAACAAAGAAGAAACAAGAAGACAAGGCCAAAAGAAACAAACAAGCAAAAAAAAAAACACGAAGACGCACAUAUUUACUCACCAAACGCAGUUACCAGAGCAAAUCAAGCAUCCAUUAAAGGUGAAAUCGAAGGAGAAGACUAAGGAAGACGAGGUUUCAUAGAGUUUUGAGAUUUCGAUUUGUUCUUUGAGUGCUUUUUUUUUUGUUGGUUUUGGGUUUUGUGAGGGAUGGAUUCUCUCUGUCUACUCAAGUUUUUUUUUGUUCUUGUCUUUUUUUUUUUUCUCUAUGUGAAUAGAGAAAAAUGUCAAAACUCCCAUUUAAUAUUUAUUACAACGACUAAUCUAAUUACCACGUCAUCGGUGAAAUUACGGUUAAUCGGCGGUUUAUUUAUAUUUUAAUCGUGGGACUGAUGGGGAGAGUGGAGGUUUCGUGGAGCUAAAUAGUAUUUUCCUAAUUUCCACUGUUAAAACUUAAAAAUAAUUUAAAUAUUUUUCUUUUUAUAUACUACAAGUCCUAUAUAACUAGAAGGCAUGUAUUACAGAAAUCUCUCACAGGCCCAUUUCCCCAGACGAGUGCACUCCUCAGAUCUAGUUCGAUCGCCUCCGCUCCCCACCUCAGCUCCUCCGUUCUGUAGCUCCGACAUCCACCGCAACUACUUUCCGGCGUGAAGAAUUCUGGGGCAAUCGAUUCCCCCUUUUAUGGUGGUUCUUUGUACGGUGUAAAAAUGAAAUCUGGAAAGAAACCCAUGGCAGAUCUGGGAGCUUUGUUCGACGAAAUCUUAAUAAACUAAACAUACCAGCUUCUUACCUAGACGCUGAGGACCGGAGGACAGUUUCCUCUCUCGUCAGUGAGACCUACCACACUCAGUCUCUACGGACACCUCGUCGUUACCUCACAGUGAGGAUUCAACCCAUCUCAUUAAGCAGUGCAACCUACAUCAACAUGUCGAACCGGUAUUCAAGAUCCGAAAAAGGAAAAUGGGUGCCUGAGGCAUCUAGAACCCCAACACGGAAGCCCUCAUCGCAAGGAAGAAGAGCCCCAAUUCUACUCCCGUCAAGUGACAACUCAGAACUCAUCGAAGACAACAAGCUCACUCUCUUAGGUCGGGUCACCAAACCAUCGAUCCAAAAACCUCAGUGGGUCCUGGACUGGCUAAUCCAAUUCUGGAACCUCGAAACCGCUGUCACAGGAAGAACUCUAGGACCAGACUUGUUCCAAGUCAAAUUUGAGACAGAGGAUGCCUUACUAUCUGUAAUGCGGCGAGCACCUUUCCACUACAAAAGGUGGAUGAUCAUCCUACAACAAUGGGAGCCAAUCGUCUCAAACUCUUUCCCCAGGCGUACUCCAUUCUGGAUUAAUAUUCACGGCCUGCCCCUCCACUUCUGGACCUUCCAGAUCCUAGAAACUAUUGGAAAAGCGCUUGGUGUCCACAUGGAUGAGGACAUUCCCCAAGGCAGAGUUCGUGUGGAUAUUGAUUGUCUAAAAAACCUGGAGAUGCAACUUCCGGUCCAACUACAGUCUGGUGAAGUCUUCAAUGUGGACUUGGAGUACGAAAAUCUGCAGAAACAUUGUUUCUACUGCUACUCUCUCUUCCAUGAGGAGGAUGACUGCCCUAGUAAACCAGUAUCGACAAGAACAUCUACCCACGAGUUGGGAAUAAGCCAGCAGAAUACACUGAGGAGCCUAGAGGAUCACCGAAGACGUCAAGACUAUCGACGAGCUCAGACAAGCCAAAUGAGGAACUCGGGUUCUCUUCCUAGAGAUGAUCAUGCGGUAUCUCAAAGAUCAUCUACCUCUCGACCAAGUUAUCCGGAAAGAAGACCUUACCAUGACUAUGCGCGACACCAACCAACUUAUGACUCAAGAGCUGUAGGGAGAGCUCAGGACAGGAGGCCUACAUUUGAGAGAAGAGAGAUAAGAGACCGUUCAUCCACCCAUUCUUCGAGAGAAUACCACCUUCAUGGGGAUCGUCCUCAAUAUUCUCAGUCCUCAAGGACCCCUCCCCCGAAUCCAGCCAGGGAGCCUAUGGAACUACCGGUUAUUCCGGAACGUGGUGAGAUUAACAGCCACUCCUCAGAGCGACGAUCAGCGCUGGAGAGAAUUGAGCGUCCCCAUCAGGAACCCCAGAGGUCUGGUGGUCUCUCCACCUCAUUGAUAGCACGGCUGCAAGAUGUUGAGGUCAACUAUGAGCAAGGAGACCUUCGUAAUAAACUUGAAGGAAGUGCUGGUAGCAAACAUAACCAGUCACCGGCUAGGGAUCACCCUGUGCCUGGUCAGAGAGUCCCUGCUGCACUGAGAAUUGGCUCUCCUGCAGGCACUAAAACCAAAACUAAUCAAGCAUCCUCAAGUAAAAAGAAAGCUGCAAGCAAAGCAUCGGCAAAGAAAGGAACCACUGCUAAUCCAGCAGCUCAAGGGAAGAGAGCAACCAGAGCAAAAGUGAAUAGAAGUCCUCUCCAAAGUACGCGCCUUUCGAAUUAGAUAACAGCUCGCUCCACUAAUCCACCCCGCAAGAAAUUAUGUGUGGAAAAGAGUGGGAAUGAAGACUUACCUGAUCCUCAGGCGCAAGAACCCCCAACAAUGGUGCAAGUCCCAGCAACAAGGAAGCGAAGGGCGGAUUUUCGGUCCCCGCAAAACCCGAUUCCUUAGCUCUAGCCUGUUGGAACUGUCAAGGUUUGGGAGGUGACUUGACAGUUCCAAGAAUCCGGGAAAUAAAAAAGACCCUAAACCCGGAUAUUCUCUUCCUAAUGGAGACCAAAAAUCAAGAUGAGUUUGUGCUUUCUGAGCUCCAGAGUCUCCGAUAUGAUCACCACAUCACAGUCCCACCAAUUGGCCUCAGCGGAGGCUUGGCACUCUUCAGGAAAGCAAACAUUGACAUCAGUAUACUUGAAGCGACCCCACACUUCAUUGACACCAAACUGAAGGUAAAAAAUACUGAGUUUCAUGUCACUUUUAUAUAUGGGAUGCCUCAACAGGAAAAUAGAGCAGCGUUUUGGGAAUCCAUUUCCCAGCUUGGACGAGACAGAGAUACUGCCUGGCUUCUUUCAGGGGACUUUAAUGACAUCUUAGACAAUGUGGAGAAGGUCGGGGGACCAGAGAGAUGUGAGGGUUCCUUUAUCCCAUUUCGAAGCUUUGUGUCGGAAAAUGGCCUGUGGGAUGUGAAGCAUGUAGGAAACCCCCUUUCGUGGAGGGGACAACGAUGUACUCACUUCAUCCGAGCCAGGUUGGACCGUGCAUUAGCAAACUGUGCUUGGUUUGAUAUGUUCUCUGCUGGCCGCUGUGAUUACUUCCGUUUUGAGGGUUCUGACCAUAGACCUCUGGUGACCUACUUGGAUUCAUCUAAGCCUAAGAGGAGGCGCUUGUUCAGGUACGACCGAAGCAUCAAGGAUAUGCCAGAGGCACGCAAAGUGAUAGAAGAAGCCUGGAGGAAAGAGGUACUUGAGCAGGUGGAAAAUAAGAUAAAGCGUUGCCGUGAGGAACUAAUCAAAUGGUUUAAAACCAAGAAGGAGAAUAGUGCAAAAGCUAUUAUUGAUCUCCAGUCUAGAUUGGAGGAGCAUCUUUCCUGUGGAGACCCAUCCCCGGAAAUCAUCAGGGAGCUCUCCCUAGCCCUCAGCAAAGCAUACAAGGAGGAGGAAUUGUAUUGGCGUCAAAGAAGUAGGGUGCAAUGGUUACAAAGAGGAGACAGGAACAGCGCCUACUUCCAUGCUGUAACUAAACGAAGGAGAUCCUAUAAUCGCCUAACCACCAUUGAAGAUGAAGCCGACAUACCUUUUCAUGAGGAGACUGAGAUCGGUAAAGUCUUUGAAGACUACUAUACCGAACUCUUUACAUCUAAUGGCGCUGGUGGUCUGGGAGCUGUUGAAGAAGCCAUCUCAAGGCGUAUUUCCCCGGAGACCAAUCAAAUACUCACGGCGAUCCCAACGGAUACGGAGAUUCUCUGCGCAGUGAAGCAAAUCAACACUGAUAAGGCGCCAGGGCCAGACGGUUUCUCUGCAGGGUUCUAUCAUUCCUUUUGGGAAGUGAUAGGGGAGGACAUUUGUAGGGAGGUGCGGGACUUUUUCCUGACUGGAAAAAUGGAUCCAAAAAUCAAUGAAACCCAUAUUUGUUUACUCCCUAAGGUCUCUGGUGCAAAGAGCCCCUCAGAGUUCCGUCCCAUAGCGCUCUGCAAUGUGCGCUACAAGAUCAUAGCAAAGAUACUAACCCUUCGUCUCCAGAAGUUCCUUGAUCACAUCGUGUCCAAACAGCAAUCAGCUUUUGUCCCGGGACGUGCUAUUACGGACAACAUCCUUAUCACUCACGAGAACCUGCACUAUCUAAAGGUUUCUGAAGCCUCAAGGAGAUGCUCCAUGGUGAUCAAAACCGACAUGAGCAAAGCGUACGAUAGAAUUGAGUGGAAUUUCCUAGCCAAAGUCCUCAGCCAGCUAGGCUUUGACUCGGUGUGGGUGAAUUGGGUGAUGGAAUGUGUCUCCACUGUUUAGUAUGCAUACCUCAUCAAUGGUGCGCCGUUUGGUAAAGUUCAACCAAACAGAGGGCUACGGCAAGGAGACCCGCUGUCCCCGUACCUGUUCAUUCUGUGUGCUGAGGUACUCACGGGACUGUGCCUGAAGGAACAACAAAAUGGGCGACUGAAGGGACUACAAGUGGCUCGAAGAAGCCCUUUCAUCAACCAUUUAUUGUUCGCGGAUGAUACAGUCUUUUUCAGUAGUACCAAUGUGAAGAGCUGUACCUCUCUAAUGAGGAUUCUGAAGAGAUACGAGAACUGCUCAGGGCAGUGCAUAAACCUGAACAAGUCAACAAUAUCCUUCUCCUCGAAAACGCCAGAGUCGAUCAUGCGUAGAGUUAAAACCUUUAUUGGCAUAGAGAAGGAAGGUGGCAUGGGCAAAUACCUAGGGCUACCUGAGAAUUUUGGACGCAAGAAGUGUUUGAUCUUAAGGUGCCUCUUUUAUAAGGAAGUUUCUAAAAGAUUUAAUAUUUCUUCAGGACAAGCAGGUGGAAUUGACUUCGAGCAUACCUUCUGUUUCCCCUGCUAGCAUGGCUUCGUACCCUUUCUUAAUGCCCUCUACAACCUCCUCAGGUAAACAUAUUACGUGUGAAGGUGUUGCAUCUUAUCUAUAUCUAAGACUAUAUGCACACAUCCAUCAUGUUGACAAGAAUAAGAGUUUCUGAGAUUAUUUAUGUCCUGCGUCUAGUAAAGGACUAUAAUGCAUACUCUUAUCUUUGUUUAUUUUUUUUUUGUGAAAAUCUACAUUGAAUGAUUUUUUUGUUUCUCUGUCCUUCUCUGAUCUUGAUACCUUGUAAUGAUGAUUGUCUUAACAUAUGUUUCACCAGUGAGAUUAACUGAUUUUUUGGUUUCUCUGUCUCAGAUUUAAGUGGCAAUGCAUUCAGUCUCUUAGACCAAAAUGUAAGAGCAUUUAGUCAAAUCAGAGCUAAUCUCUCCUCAUACAAGGUAAGUUUCUAGUUUACAUGGUUUAAAAUAAUGCAAAAUGGCAUUCUUGCUAAAAAUUGGUCUUUCCUGGUGACUAUGAACAGGCACAUGAUAACGUAGAUCUCUUCUAUCAGGCAAGGAACAACCUUAUCAGGAUCCAAAAUGAGUAAGUUAUUACUCUCUUCAAGAUUUUCUGUAAAUUUGGGUGGAGCUUGAUCAACUAAUGUCUUUAAUUUGGCAGCAUGAAUAAUAUGCCUGGCUUGAUGAGCCAGAUGCCACCAUUGUCUGUUGCAAUCGAUGAUGAUCUCUCAGCUAUCUUAUUUAGUAAUUCAACUUCGGUAAGUUCAUUAUGCUGCUCACUUUUGUAUCAAAAGUCCAUUACUAUUUUAUAUAGAGGAUGUUCACUUGUUACUUAUAUUCUUCCCAAUUUGUUCCAGGCGGUGCCUUUCAACACAAUGCAAAAUGGCGGUUUCCAUAUGAAGCAAGAGCCUUUUGGGUGACUGAUGAAGUCAUCUGGUAUCCCUUAAUCAUCUGUAAAUGAUCUUAAAAAGAAGCUGGAGAGCUCAAUAUAUAUAUAUAUAUAUAUACUAGUUUUUUUUAAAAUGAAUCUUUAAUUUUGAAUUGAAUGGGUACAAUGUAGCUAAUAUUUGUAGUUUUCAAAGAAAAUGUAUGGAAUCAGGUGAAUAAUAGAUGGUAAAAUCACAAGAUCCUCAGGAUGUUAAACUAUUUAGCUUACUCUUUGAGUCUUUUCACACAUCUUUUCAUAGAGUAAUAUUACAGUUUUGGGUAAAGUCCACUAAUUGAAUUUAGAUGCGAUAUUUUAAAAACAUAUUGUUGAGGUAGAUGGACUUCUAACCUAAAACCAAUUGGUGAUAAGUGGAGUGGCUCAUCUAUCUUAUAUAUUACUAAAGAUCUCUUCCAACUACCGAUGUGGAACAUUUGUCCCUAAUACGCCUCUUCGAGAUGAUAGUUCUUUAAGAGCCAAUUUCGGAAUGUUUGGGCAAGGAUCGAGGGCCAACUUUAGGCCGGAUCGAUGUGGAUCGGGUUGGACUGCGUGGAUUGGGCUUGGGCCGGGUCGAUGUGGAUCGGGUUGGACUGCGUGGAUCGGGCUCUGAUACCAUGUUAAGCUAGAUGGGCUUCCAACCUAAAACCAAUUGGUGAUAAGUGGAAUGACUCAUCUAUCUUAUAUACUACUAAAGAUCCAUUCCAACUACGGAUGUGGGACCUUUGUCCCUAAUACAUAUGAGAAGUUUAGGAUUUAAGAACUAAAAGGCAGAAGUGGUUGUCCAAAAAUAGAAGAAAACAUUGUGGGAAACAAGUCCAAAUUAAACAUAUGCUAAUAGAAAAAGAAACCCGGAUUUUAAGGGGGUUUUGGAUAUGGUUAGGUUACUUUUUACAUAUUGGUUUACAUACAAAUGAGAAAGACGUGACCUUCUCCAACAUCCAUUGGUGUUAACAAAUAACUUCACAUUUUCUUAAUCAAACAGUUUUAACUUUUCGUUAAUUAUUAUACAUAUUUCAAUCUAUUUGGGUCGCUUUAAUAAGGUGAACCAUGCUAUUCCCCACACUAUUAUAGUAUUAUAACAUGCUUUACUCUUAAAUGGGAACUUUACUCAUCCUGUUAAUCAUCAGAAAUAUUAAAGCCAGCUCAUGGUAUCUGCACUAUCUGUUAUUUAAAUGUAUAUGUACUCGAAUGGUUUUUGAAUGUACUUUUCAAAAGUAACAAUCAAAGUAAAAUAAUACCUUGAAGACUACUUAAGACACAUGACCUCGAUAUACAGCUUGACGACUGUAGAACUACACGUAAAUACAAAUCGAUUGUCUUAUAGACCAAUAUGAUGAUACAAAUAGAUAGAUAGUUGCUUCUUCUUUUUUGACCAAUCAAUAAUAUUCAGAUUAGGAUUGUAUAGGUAAAGAGAAGUUGAUAAAGUACAAUAUUACCCAUUUUAUGCAAAAUAGUAAUUAAAGAAUACUAGUGUUCAUAACUAAAUACAUGCACCCACAUGUACAUUUCUACACACCCAACCACAAGCUUGUGGUAGGCCUAGAUAAUUAAUUCAAAUUAAAGUUUGUUUUUCUUAAGAAACCAAAUGAAAGUUAGCAUUACUUAUUUCUUAGACUGCAUAUGAACUAAUAGUUUAUUAGUUAUAGUAAUUAAGAAUUAGAAACCUAAUUAAGAAGCUUAGAAGGUGUUACUCCUUUCUACAUCAUUUGUUAUUUUGAUCAUCAUGCGCUCGUACUUAGUUCUAUCUCAAUGUUUUUGUAGAGCACUUCACAUUUAGAAAUUGAAAAGUUUAAUAUAUAGUUUAAUGAAUCAAACUAAUUUCAUUUGAACACUUGUUCUCUUUAGUAGAAAUGGUAAGUAUGAUUAUCCUGAUUAGCACUGGGAGAGAGUGAUUAAAGAGGAAGCAAAGUGAUUAGACACAAAAACCACUUUUAUUAGAGAAUAGUUGGUCCAGCGAUUAGUGUAAGAUACAGGUACAACUGUGACACCAUUCCUUUCUUGAUGUUAAUCUCAAAACUUUAUCAUUCUACCAUUUCUAUCUAAUCCUAGCUUCUUUCUAAGUUUGUUCAUUUAAUGAUUUCUCAUCGAAAUCGACAAUUAGAGUACCUCUUUGAUCAAAGCUAUAUAUAUUCGCAAAUAAUUAGUUUAGGUAGAAAACAAUUGGAAUAUUGUAAGUAGUAAAAGCAAAAUACUUUUUGUAAGAUAGUUUACUUUUUGUAAGAUAGUUAUGAUGGUUUUAAUGUCUCCUGAAUAAAACAAGCAUGUCGUUGCAGGGAAAAUUAAAUUAACCAUCAUACUAGUAUUUUUCAUUUGGCCCCUGAAUUGACUAGUUUGAUAUAAGCAUUGGUGAAGUCCUUUCAAGAGUUUGUCUUGAUCUUCCGUACAUCGCUUCACCCACCUAUGCUUCAUCAAACUGCGAAGCUUGUAUCAGUUGAAUAGCUCCCCAUUUUGUCAACGAGCCCUAUCCUCCAAGUGUUGUUCAGCACAUAUAAAUCCACUCUACUUUGGAAUGUUACUUAGAAAAUUAGGUCUUGAAAUGAUACGUUAAGAACUUUCUACGGAGAGAGACCUUAAGCACUCAUCUUCCUCCACGAGGCCAUGAGCUAAAUUAACAAAUUGAGGUAUAUUAACAUGUUGGUGAUAAGAAACAUUUGAAGAGAGCCACUGAAUAUUGAACAUACCAGAACUCUCAAGUACUCCAUAUUCAGAUAAAUUAAGGCAAAAAAUAUGAACAAAACAUCCAGAAUUAACCUCGCAUAGUCACAUGUUCCAUUCUAGAUAUAAUAUACCUUUUACAUUUCCAAACUUGUCGGCUCACCAACAAAGAGAAACACUAUUACAACAGAGUAUACUAAGUUACUAACCAAAAAGACGUCUUAUCUCGGACCGGAGAGCUCGCUAUGAAAUGCCGAUGAUGAAGUUCUACAAUCGCUUUCUUCGCUGAUCGACCUCAACUCCAACCUCGUGUAACGGUUCGGGUCUAAAGUGGAAGAAGACGGAGGCUGAAGCACCGGGAAAACACCUUCAAGCAUUUGAACAACUUUGCUCAUGGACGGUCUCAAAUGCAUAUCUUCUUGUAUACACCAAAACGCAGUUUUCAUCGCCCUUCCAACUCUCGCAUCGUUCACAAUAUCAACACCCUCCUCCUCCUCCAUCUCCCAAUCAACGUUCUCUAUAAGCAACCCUUCCCGCAUCCUCGUAAAAGCAUAAGCAGGAAAAUUGGUACUCGCUAAAGAAGACUCUUGGUUCUUUCGUCUUCUUAUUAUUUCUAUAAGAACCAUUCCGUAGCUGUAAACAUCGCUCUUCUCCGAGAUGGCGUAAGUCGUUAUCCACUCGGGAGCCAUAUAGCCUCUCGUCCCACGCAAAGUUGUGAAGACAUGGCUCUGCUCCCGUGUCAUGAGCUUAGCGAGUCCAAAGUCAGAUACCCUGACGUUGAAGUCAUCGUCCAACAAGAUGUUCUCUGGUUUAAUAUCACAAUGGAUGAUUCUUGCGUCGCAAUCUUCGUGUAAAUAAGCUAAACCUUUCGCUGUUCCGACCGCGAUGCUGAACCUCGCGUCCCAAUCCAAGAGUAUAUCUCCAUCUCUUCUCCUGAAUAUCCAUCUCUCUAAUGAACCUUUCGAUAAGUACUCGUAAACGAGAAGCCUGUGAGCUCCUUCCUCGCAGAAACCUUUGAGAUGCACCAAGUUUUGAUGGUGAAUGCUACCGAUCGUACUAACCUCGGCUUUGAACUCUUUCUUGCCUUGACCUAUUCCUUCAAGCUGCUUCACGGCUAUUUGAGAACCGUCUGGUAACGUUCCUUUGAAAACUGAACCAAACCCUCCUUGACCUAACUUGACGGAGAAGUUACGCGUAGCUAACUGAAGAUCUUUGUAAGGAAAUCGGAUAGACGUACAAGGUAGUAUGUUGACGAAACUAUGAGUCGUCUCUUGAGAAGCAAGCAAACGUGCUUUCACUCUCCUAUGAAUCCGAAACGCCUCGAAGAUCAAAACGCAGAUGAUAAAGACCGCCGCCAAGACGGUAAUAAUAAUCACUAUAUAUGGAAAGUGUUUCCCAUCGCCAUAAUCAUUAGUAGCCACCUUGAUAUAAGAGACGAAACCAGAACCUCCCCUUCCAGAGGAUUUAAAGCUUCCAAUCCAAUCAAACAAGAAGCAGUCACCAGAACUGUUCUGGAAGAAAAGACCGAGGCACGAGCAGUUGGUGUUGCAAAACUCUUUACAGCUAUCAAGAUUGGUUUUCUUGGGGAAAGGAGAAGCAAACCCUAGUGCGAAGUAGUCAACACUAUCUCCAGCAUUUACAAGUUUCACAGACAAUGCUGCAUUGUCGUUUGUUUUCUUACAAGGAGAAGUAUCGAUCCCGGUUUUGCAAUCGCUUGACAAUCCGGACACACAUUGACACGCUUUACUAACAGAGCAGAGGUAGUAAGGGCUACAAGGCUCGGGCGUUGCACACUGAUCGGUCGGGAUUUUAGCGAGAGUAUCAGCCGCAAACACACCACUCCCAAGACUUGUAAAGGAGACCACACCGUUGUUUCCCAGAACCGCAAUCCAAGUGGCGUUAUCAUCUCUACUUUCUGAUGAAAUCAAAAACUGCCAUAACAAAAGACUGUUUAUCAUCAAAGAACAUCCACGAGUUUCCGAGUAAAGACGAUGAAGUCACUACACCACCGUAUUUAUCAAUGAUCCUCCCUCUGUCGCUUCGCAUGGACCAGUACACUUGAGGAGUCAAGCUGUUGACAGAUAAAAACAUAUCUCCUGAUUUGAUCUCAAGAGAAUAAGUCAUGUUGCUCGUAGAAGAAGCAUUGCUAGUGAGCUCCAUGCCUUCUUUUAAGACUUGAUUCGUAAUUAGAGUAUCUGUAGGAUGUUCAAAGCUCUCCCAGAUCGAAGCUCCGUCACCAGAAACAACAACGAGGUUUCCCGAGUCACGUAGCUCGAUUCUUGAAGCGCUUUUGCCUGAAUUAUCCAGCCUCCAAACCUCAGGUCCUCCUCCUCCUCCUUCUCCACGCAGCACCACAUUCCCGUUGUCUUGGAACUGGAGCUUGUCGGAAUUUGAAACAGGGGAAGCUCUGUUCGCCGACCAGAUCAGUCUCGAGCUGCUUCUGUGGACGAUGCUGAGUGUGAAGAGAGUGACGUCAUCUGGUGUGGUUAUGAAACCGAAACCAAAGUCUUUGUUGAUGGAUUCGAGGAAGAUACCGUAGUUGUUGAUGUAAUCCACCUGAGAUCCUUCAAACCCUGGAGAGAUGCUUCCAUUGUACGGUACAAGGCAAAGCAGCAGGUCCGGGAAGAAUAUCAACAUAGAUGCUAAGAGGACACUGAAGAACAUUCUCAUUCUCAUAGCUUCCUGCUUUUCUCGUUUUUUCUUCUUUUGCUUGUUUGUGUGGCGAAAAACCUCGACACACGUUAGAAGAAUUAAACCAAAAAUAAAUGGAGUUUUGUAAAUGUUUGGAUUGUGAUUCACGCUGAGAAUCGGAUAAAGGAAAAGAAGAAAGAAAAAACAGUUGGUCUUGUUACAAACAUUCUAGUCUAGCAAGAAGGUUUCAAAGUGGGAAAGCUUUUAGUUUUAGUGGUCCACACGUGAGAUACGCGUGACUUAUUAUGUACGAGUAUAUACGAGUCUGAUCAUCAAGCUUGGAAGCUCCGCUCCUCUCUUCAAAAUUGAAAUAAAAUUACAAAAAGUAUCUACUAUUAUCAGUAGAAAAUCGAUGAGUAGUACAUUUUAAUCUAUGUAUACAAGUCGGAACAUUACAAAACUGAAACUGAGAGAUAGAACACUAAUGUUUUAAACAGAACAACAAUAUACAUACAAAUACAUGGUUGUAAUGUCAUCUAAAAACCUAUAAGAAGAAGACACUAAAAACUGGGCUAUCUCGGACCGGAGAGUCUCACGGCCGACAGAUAGUUCUCACUAUUACAAUCCGACGGUCCAGACGAGGUACCACCACCUUCCUCACUAAUCGACUUACAGAAGCUCGAGUAAAGCCUCGACCCCAAAGUAGAAGAAGACGGAGGCUGAACCACGUGAAAAACUCCUUCAAGCAUCUGAACAACUUUGCUCAUCGACGGUCUCAAAUGCAUAUCUUCUUGUAUACACCAAAGCGCAGUCUUCAUCGCUCUCUGAACUCUCUCAUCGUCCACGUCAACGUUCUUCAUCUUCCCAUCAACAAUCUCCAAAAGCUUCCCUUCUUCCAUCAUCUUAAAAGCAUAAGAAGGAAAGUGGCACUUCUCCGAGGACUCUGAUGGAUCAUAGUUCUUUCUUCCUCCUAUCAGCUCUAGCAACACCAUCCCGUAGCUGUAGACAUCGCUCUUCUCCGAGAUCGCGUAGUUUGUGAUCCACUCAGGUGCCAAAUAGCCUCUAGUCCCACGCAUAGUCGUGAAAACAUGGCUCUGCUCUCUAGUCAUGAGCUUAGCUAGUCCGAAAUCAGAUACCUUGGCGUUGAAGUUAUCAUCCAAGAGAAUGUUCUCAGGUUUAAUAUCGCAAUGGAUGAUUCUUGCGUCGCAAUCUUCGUGUAGAUAAGCUAACCCUUUCGCUGUUCCGACCGCGAUGUUGAACCUUGUGUCCCAAUCCAACAGAAUAUCUCCAUCUCUUCUCCUGAAUAUCCAUUUCUCCAACGAACCUUUCGCUAAGAACUCAUAAACGAGAAGCCUAUGAGCUCCUUCCGCGCAGAACCCCCUAAGCCGCACCAGAUGCAGAUGAUGAAUGCUUCCGAUGAUACUAACCUCGGCUCGAAACUCUUUCUUCCCUUGACCUAUUCCUUCAAGCUUCUUCACCGCUAAACGCGAACCAUCAGGUAACGUCCCUUCGUAGACCGAACCAAACCCUCCUUGACCUAACUUGAUAGAGAAGUUAUUCGUCGCUGACUGAAGAUCUUUAAACGUAAACCUAAUAGGCAUCCCCGAUAGAUUCUCCAAGAAGUUAUCCUCCUCUGAGCUAUGCUCCUCAUCAGCGUCCAGAAUAGUUUUCGUCCUCGUUCUCCUAUGAAUCCGAAACGCCACGAAGAUCAAACAACCGAUGAUGAAAACCGUCGCCAAGACUAUAAUCACUAUAUAAGGAAAGUGUUUCCCAUCUUCUUCUUCUCCGUUGUCUCCACCUCCUAAACCAUUAGUAGCCACCUUGAUGUAAGAAACCAAACCAGAACCUCCACUUCCAGAGGCUUUAAAACUCCCAAUCCAAUCAAACAAGAAGCAGUCACCAGAACUGUUCCGAAAGAACAAACCGAGGCACGAGCAGUUGCUGCUGCAGAACUCUUUACAGCUAUCGAGACUAGCUUUCUUAGAGAACGGAGAAGCAAACCCGAGCGCGAAGUAGUCAACACCGUCUCCAGCAUUUACAAGCUCCACACGGGAAGAUGCGUUAUUGUCUUUCUUAUUAUUACAAAGAGAAGUAUCGAUCCCGGAUUUGCAAUCAGACCGAACUCUUGAUAAACCGGAAACACAUCCACACACUUUACUACCAGAGCAUGUGAAGUAAGACCCGCAAGGCUCAGGCGUCGCACACUGAUCGCUCGGGAUUUUGGUCGAGGAAUCAGCAGCAGAGACACCGCUCCCGAGAUUCGAGAACGAGAUCACGCCGUUGUUUCCUAAAACCGCGAUCCACGUGGCGUUAUCGUCUUUAUUAUCCGAAUAAACAAACUGCCAUAACAAAGACUGUUUCUCAUCAAAGAACCUCCACGAGUUCCCGAGGAGAGAGGAAGAAGUCACGACGCCGUUUUGUUCGAUGAUCCUCCCUCUGUCGUUCCCCAUGGACCAGUACGUUUGAGGUGUCGAGCUGUCAACGGAUAAAACCAUAUCUCCCGAUUUAAUCUCGAGAGAGUAACUCAUGUUGCUCGAAGACGGGUUGCUUGUGAGUUUCAUCCCUUCUUUAAAAGCCUGGUUUGUGAUCAGAGUAUCCGUAGGAUGAUCAAAGCUCUCCCAGAUCGAAGCUCCGUCGCCGGAGACAACCACGAGGUUCCCCGAGUCGCGAAGCUCCAUUCUCGAAGCGUUUUUGUUUGCAUCGUCCAAUCUCCAAACCUCGGAUCCUCCUUCUGUACGGAGCACGACGGUUCCGUUGUCUUGGAACUGGAGCUUGUCGGAGUUCGAAACAGGGGAAGCUCUGUUCGCCGACCAGAUGAGUCUCGAGGUGGGUUUGUGGACGAUGCUGAGUGUGAAGAGAGUGACGGAAGCUGGAGUGGUUACGAAGCCGAAGCCGAAGGCUGAGCUGUUGGAUUCGAGGAAGAUGCCGUUGUUGUUGAUGUAGUUCAUCUGAGUUCCUUCGAAGCCUGGUGUGAUGCUGCCGGUGUAGGGUACACCGCCGUGUAGAGGAUGAGGGAAGAGAGUUAGACAUGUUGUUAAGAAGACGAUGAAGAAGCCUCUCAUCGCUUUGCCUAGAAUUUUACACUAAAUCUUUAUGGAAAAAAAUGUAAACUUUUUUUGUGUGUGGAUCAAGUCAAUGGAUCUGAGAAACAAACAAAAGAAGAUUCCCAAAAGAUGCAAAAAGACAAAUCUCAGAGCGCUGUCAGGUGAACGCUAUGCAUCUGUAAAUGGAAACUGAUUGUUUCUAGAUUCAUCGCAAACCUCCCCCGAGAAGAAGAUUUCGUGACGGAGAAAUAAUCAAACAGAGAAACAAGAACUCGCCUUCGUCUUGUUAGAAAGUUUCAAACUUUUUCAGACCGGAAUUGGGUAAAGGAACCGGAAAAAUUGAAAUUGAAAUUGAAGAAGAGCUGGAUUAUUUGAAGGGGUUGGAGAACUCUGGUUUUGUGUGUUUUGCCUAUCUGUCUCAGAUUCAAUGAAGUUUGAAUUGGGUCUUUGAUAAGAGAGGAAAGCGACAACUGGGGGGGAUUGAAACAGAGAGAAGAAGGUUGUAACUUGUAAGAGUGUCUUAAUUAAUAAAAAUCUGUGUGAGCCGUUUCCUUUAAAUCCGUUUUCCUUUUUUAUAUUUUCCCUCUUGCGACCGUCACAAACUAUUAUGGACAGAUCCGACCCGCUUGGGUGGGUCUCUCUUUUUAACCAAACAUGUUCUUAAAUUUUUUGACUUUUUGACUUUUCAGAGAGGACAGAAGAAGGAGACAGAUGUAGUUGAUUGUGUAAUAAAGGGUUGUGUGGAUAGGUUCGCACCGUACAGAUUGCAUUUAUGUUUUCGUAAAAGAAUUGCAUUUUUACUGAAUGGUUGAGGUGGAAUGAAGACUAUUCUCCAGAUGAGUCUCGAGGUGGGUUUGUGGACGAUGCUGAGUGUGAAGAGAGUGACGGAAGCUGGAGUGGUUACGAAGCCGAAGCCGAAGGCUGAGCUGUUGGAUUCGAGGAAGAUGCCGUUGUUGUUGAUGUAGUUCAUCUGAGUUCCUUCGAAGCCUGGUGUGAUGCUGCCGGUGUAGGGUACACCGCCGUGUAGAGGAUGAGGGAAGAGAGUUAGACAUGUUGUUAAGAAGACGAUGAAGAAGCCUCUCAUCGCUUUGCCUAGAAUUUUACACUAAAUCUUUAUGGAAAAAAAUGUAAACUUUUUUUGUGUGUGGAUCAAGUCAAUGGAUCUGAGAAACAAACAAAAGAAGAUUCCCAAAAGAUGCAAAAAGACAAAUCUCAGAGCGCUGUCAGGUGAACGCUAUGCAUCUGUAAAUGGAAACUGAUUGUUUCUAGAUUCAUCGCAAACCUCCCCCGAGAAGAAGAUUUCGUGACGGAGAAAUAAUCAAACAGAGAAACAAGAACUCGCCUUCGUCUUGUUAGAAAGUUUCAAACUUUUUCAGACCGGAAUUGGGUAAAGGAACCGGAAAAAUUGAAAUUGAAAUUGAAGAAGAGCUGGAUUAUUUGAAGGGGUUGGAGAACUCUGGUUUUGUGUGUUUUGCCUAUCUGUCUCAGAUUCAAUGAAGUUUGAAUUGGGUCUUUGAUAAGAGAGGAAAGCGACAACUGGGGGGGAUUGAAACAGAGAGAAGAAGGUUGUAACUUGUAAGAGUGUCUUAAUUAAUAAAAAUCUGUGUGAGCCGUUUCCUUUAAAUCCGUUUUCCUUUUUUAUAUUUUCCCUCUUGCGACCGUCACAAACUAUUAUGGACAGAUCCGACCCGCUUGGGUGGGUCUCUCUUUUUAACCAAACAUGUUCUUAAAUUUUUUGACUUUUUGACUUUUCAGAGAGGACAGAAGAAGGAGACAGAUGUAGUUGAUUGUGUAAUAAAGGGUUGUGUGGAUAGGUUCGCACCGUACAGAUUGCAUUUAUGUUUUCGUAAAAGAAUUGCAUUUUUACUGAAUGGUUGAGGUGGAAUGAAGACUAUUCUUUUGUUCUUAACGAAAGAACAAUCUGAACAUCACUUGAGAUUGCUUAAAAUUGUGUCAUGUAUGAAAUUUGAAUUUGGUGUGUAAUUGAUAUUUGUAUUGCAGAUGACGGAUUGUUUUUUCGCCUUGUCAUCACUAGUUAAAAGUUACAGGUUUCAAUUAUGUUUUUAGUAAAUGUAAAAUCAUACAAAAUUCAAUAUCAAAUGAAACCAAAAUAAAAAAUAAUGUAUAGCAUCUUCGAUACAAAACGUUAUUUUAAAAAAAAAAAUUGAGUAACUCUGGAGUUUAUUUAACUUUAGUCAUAUCCUAUUUGGAGUAAAAAAAAAAGAAUAAAUUUACUUUAUUAUAUAAUAAAAAUGAUUUGGGUGUCGAAACAUUGUUCUAUUCUAAAUUCUAUUUUGGAAUAAAAUAUAAAAUGAAAUUGGAGGCAAAAACUCUCUUUUUUAAAGAAUUUUAAAUUGUAUUCCAAUCAAAAAACCUUUCUUCUCUUUUAGUCAUGGGGAAUUCAAAGAUGGAUCAGCCAACGUCAAAACAUGGGUUUUUCGUGUGUGUAGUUUGAAUACACAUCUACUUCGUCUUUUUCUUUACCGUAAAAAAGGAAACUAUGUUCAACAAAUAACACCUAAACUUACUUUUUCCAAUAAAAGUAAAUAACACCUAACCUUACUAAGUCUUCCCAUGCAGGCCCGUCCCUCCAAUAAGGGAACUAAAGCAUCUGCUUUAGGCCACAAAAUAUAAACAAAACAUUAAUACCAUUUGUCACUGAAUAAUAGUUAGGUCAAAUGGUUUAAAAGUUUGAUCUGCAUAGUUUGAUUCUCUUUUUGUCCAGCGUAAUUUUAAUUUUUACCAUUCGAUAACUCUAUACCUUUUUGUAUUGGCUGACUGUUACUAUUUAUUGUUGGUAUUUAUAUAAGAGGCCACAUAAAUAUUUUUUGUGCUUUAGGCCACCCCAAAUUAUGGGACGGCACUGUUCCCAUGAAAUAUUAAAAACAGAAUAUCACUCACAAAAACGUAGAGAUUACGAAGGAAAAAAAAACUAUGAAUUAUGCCUUUUUUCAAAAAAAAAAAAAAAAACUAUGAAUUGGGUUGGAAAAGAACACGAAGAGGGACGUGGGGAAGUGUGAAAAAAUAGAUUGAGGUGUUUGUUUGAUUGUUAAGGUAAGACUGAGUACGGAAGCCACAGCAGUCAGUAUACCGAACUCCCCGUGUACUUUCUUACGUUCCAUCAAGAAUUUUUUACAUACAUAUUUGCCCAUAAGAAAAUAAAAUCUUUUUUAGACAAAACUAAAGAGAAAUUGUGUUUCUUUAUUAUUGUUUAAUCUAUUUCUUAAUAAUUUAUUUUUUUUUAUUUUUAAAUUAAAAAUACAUAUAGCAAAUUUUGUCGAAAGCCACAAAAUCAAUUUUUGACCAUUUUUUCAGUUUUAGGUUAAUGGAAACGACAAUUACUGAAAUGUCCUCAUUCCUAACCUAUCACUUACAAGUUUAUAGCGGCUGUUCAUUUUUUUUUCCUCACCAUUUCUUCACUUUUUCUUAUAAAUCUUGUUCCUUUUAAUCAAAAUAUGAUAGAUCUUUACCAUGAAUUGAGAUUUCGAGCGUAACAUCUAGAAAAUAAGGAACUUUUAACCUUUUCCGAGUAGUUCACCGAAUCAUCUCGAAUCGCCACGGCCACCGGCCGUUACACGAUUUUCCGCCAAGUUUCCGGCCGUGGAGAGCGCGUUUUCGAACAUGGGUUACAGAUGAGUGAUAUGUGGAUGUUUGAAAAAUAUGGAUAGCUACAUAUAGAAUAUAAGCAUGGAACGACACAUGUGGAUGAGUGUGGAAAGAUAAGCGUGGACGGGUAAACAUGGACGGCUAUUUGUGGACGAGUAAAAUUAAGAUUAAAAUUUAAAAUUCAACAUACUACAUAUCUCAUGGUGGAGGACUGUGACGAGCUCGAACCACCGCAGCUUCACCGAGCUCAUCCACGAUGAUGUUGAGCUUGGAAUCCAUGGUGUGGUUCACCGGGAAGAGGAGCUGACUCGUUUUGACCGGAGGUUUUGGAGGAGGAGAUGACUCGUUUUAACUUUUUUGGUUUGUUUAGCUUUGUUUUCAUCACUAAAGCUUGUUUUUUUCUCUAGACAUGUAGUGGUAGUUAUUGGUUUGAAAUCAUUAAUUUGUUCAUCCUUGAGAUUGUGGACACAUUGGCAACCAUAUCACCGUCUUUCAAUAUGUUACAUUUUGUUAUAUAUAUGUUUAGUAUUUGAUUUACUACUCUAUCCACCACAUCAAGUUUCAAUUCCCUAUCUACAAAUUUAAGAGAUCUCUCUUGUUCUUUAUUCAUGGUUAUGUUAGCGUCUAUAUCCACAGCAUAAUCAAAAUCAUCUUGUCCCCGUCCACAUACAAACAUUGUUGUUGGAGUUGUGUUCUUAAGCUCAACUAUUGUGGAGCUUACUCUGAUGAAGCUUCUGAAAUUUUUACAUGUAUCAUCCGUCCAUGCAUCGAAUGUCUAUUAAGGAUCAAGUUGUCCACAGUUUAUGGCUGGCCCACAACAAAGUGUCUCACAUGUAGGAAGUGGUUCUGAGUGCAAAUAAAAGCCAAAAAACGGCCUAGAGCUCUUCCAUCAAUCCACUGUUCUGGUAAAUAUCAAAAUCUCCAAUAUGCCCCUGGUUAAUGAAAUGAACCAAAACCAAAUUACUCCUUUUUCACUACCGACGUGGUGUUUGGUUUGACUUCAUGGUUACAAUCUUCAAAGCAGAUUCAUCAACCCUUCUUUUUCAACGGCCGAGCGUUAUUCCUGAAUGUAUGAUUCAUACUAUUAUCAAUGCCAAUUUUAAAAUUUUCAUUACUUAAUUGUUUGGCGACACAGGAUAUACCUAAUCGAUAUGUUGUAACCUCCCCCUACCAUUUAAAAUUCUCGGUGAUUUAUCGUUGUUGCCACUCCGUAAACCAAGUCAAUCAUGUGAAAACUUUAACAUGUAAGUAGUUUUUUUAUGGUUAUGUACUAGAGUAGCUAGAUAAAUAUUGAGACAACUCUUGAUUCCACAGAUCCUCCAGAAGGGCACAAAUAUAAUAAGAGUAAAGUUUUCAUUAAAACGUUACAUCAUAUUAAUUGCUCAAAUGAAAUGUAGUUGGGGAGUUAGCUUUGGUUUUAAUGACCCGCAAUCAUCUACUCCCAUUCAUAUCCCUAAGUUAUAAAUUAUUCUGAAAUGAGUUGGCGAAUCGCCAAGCGUAUUAUACAUACAUCCAUAGUAUUUCAUACUAGUGAAAAAUGACAAGCAUUAAAUUAUAAACAUAAAUUAUUGGAAAAAUAAUAAACAGCUACGCAAUAGUAAUGGAUCAUAGUGAUACAAUUCGAUGUGGCCUAAACAGUGACAGCACCAUAGGUCUUUAACUAAACCUAAAAUGCAACUUCCUCAAACGUGCAUCUACCAUUAUUGUUUAUAUAUAUGCACAAUUAUGUACGUCUGGAUAUGUACUAUUGUCAUCUGCAUUUAUAUAUAUAAUAUAUAUCCAUUAUCAAUAUAUGUCAUAGCUUCAUGGUCCAUCUUCUUCUGGAAGUCCUUUAUUUCCAGUUGUAUAGGUUAUUUUACUUAUGAGCUCUAUAUAUCUUUAUAAUGUUUUAUUUUUCUUUCUUAGAGAUUUCAAAUGUACAUAUGUGGAAUUACUUCCUCGACGAUGUGUUGAUAUAUAACUUAUCUGCAUCCUAUAACUUAUUGAAUUUAAUAUAUUAAAUAGAUAACGUCAGUAUGAGUAUGAUAACAUAACAAAUUAAAAACCGAUGUCUAAUUAAUGCUAACUAUAACUCUCAAAGCAAAAAUGUUGUAAAUAUUCGUAAAAGAUACUACGUUUAUGAAAUAAGCGAGACUUUGUUAUAUUUCAGGUUCGUAAAGUAAGAAACUAAGAAUAUGUGAACACAGAGCUACUUUACGAAAAUGGAGAUUAAUUUGUCUUAUUACAUAAAUCAAAGAGACUCUGGGUUCACAUAUUUUAUCUGCCUUUCCACAUAAAAUAGAAUAAGAUGCUUUUUCACGUUUGAAUAUGGUUCCGGAUAUUAUAUUAUCAUUUGUUAACCAGGCAAUUAGGUGGUUUGUAAGAAACUAAAUCUUCUUCGUGGUACGUCAACGUGACAUAUCGCUCGCUUCAUUGUUGGUAUUUUCUUUCUUUCUUAUAGACAACUCAUAAGAAAUUAUAUCACCAUAUCUUUACGUAUUCUAAAAACAUGUUUGAUUCCGCCUAUUCUUUUUUCAAAAAGACAAUUAUAUAUUCUUGUUGUUUUGUGAUUAUUGUCGAUCUAUUUAAAAAAAAAAAAAUUUUAUGACAAAGGUAUGCAUGGAGAACUAGAAGUUAAUCUUUUUAUCAAGACUAAAGAGUAGUCAAAACUCAAAAGCAAUAUAUUUUUUGGGGUCUACAAUUUAGUAUAUCAAAGCAGUAAAAAUUGUAUGGUCUGAUGGUCUCAUUAGUGGUUAAAAAUAUCUGCGUUUUAGGUACUCCAGGGUGUAAUCCUAUGGCAUCAGAUGUUAAAGAAAAAAACACAAGAAUCGUAUAUGUUGUUUAAUAAACAAUAACAACGUAGCUCUUUCAUGCGUACAUAUGUUUCAUGUAUCUAAAUAUCUAUCGUAUGUUUACAUAUCAUGAUUUUACAGAUGCAUACAAUAAUACGUAUGUAGGCAUGUGCGUUAACAAGAAUAAGCAAAUCUUAUCUCAACAAAUCACAUACUAUAAAACAUAUAAUUUUUAUCUUGCAAAUCGGUAUAGUUCGUCAUGUAUCUUCCAGUACAAUCAUACGAAUGAUCACAUUUGAUAUCAUCAGGAACGUGGUAGCCGUCAACGUACAACUGAGAUUUCUCUCUGUUUUUUCUUUUAUAAACUAGUACUAUAAUACAUAUAUAAUUGAUCAAUAAUGGAUCGCUUAAUUCCAAGAAAAAUACUAAUUAAAUUCAAAAGAACCGGUCAUUUCUUGUCAAACCAAUACGUAGAGAGUCAAUUGGUCACCAAUUUGAGUAAUUUAAAACCACUUGGAUCAACUUUUAGGUAAGACAUAAAUUAUAAUGAACAAGGUUAUUUAUAUAAUAAUGGACGACGUUGGGCAAUGAGAAAGAAAAGCCUCACUCAAAAUCCAAUGAGAAAUUACUUUUGUGAGGAGAUUAGUAGAUUACAAAAAGCUUAGCAUUUUUAAAUCUUAUUUUCCAUUUUUUCAAUAAUGGACUGCUUUGCUGAUAUAGAGAAGUCUUGAGAUCAAAGAUUCAUAUUAGGUAAACUGGUAAAGUUUAAAAUUAACGAGGUCUUCCCUGCUGUCAAAAGUUUAGUUGAAUUAUGCUUUGUUAAAUGGUUUACAACAAGGGAAAUAUAUUGCCUCUAUGUUAUAAUAAUGUACAAGUGCAUCUGUAAAAUCAAAAUAUACACUCGUAUAGAUUUGGUUGUUGAGACAUUUUUCUGCAUGUAAUAAUUUUCUUUUUAGAUUCAUAUUCGAGUAUGCAUGUAGUACUGCAUGAGCUUUCAUUUAGUGUGACUCUCAACUCAACUCAACUCAAAUUAAUUUAAUUUUAUGUUAUAGUCUAACCGUAACACCCAACGUAACACACAACAUCACAUAAGGUAGAUCUGUUACAUGAAAGCAUUAACGUAUGCAUGGGCAUCAAAUAGUGAUUUUUUUAGUUUUCUACCUGUAUCACUAGAAUAAUUAGCAUAUAAUUUGGUCAUGUAUGAUGCAACGUAAAAACAAGUAGGCCCAAGAGAGUGGAGGGACUAAUAAAUGGACAUACGCUGAGUUCAAUACAAAACCAACUAACUGGCCCAAGCCCGUAUCACAAGAGUUAGCAUUGGUUAGCAGGUUCCUAUCACAACUAUUUUCAUAAAAUCUUACGAAUAUCUUGUGUAACUACUAUCUAUUGUGAAGGUACAGAUGUAGUAGACUCGAUAUUUCGAAAUCAUGCUAUUAAAAGUACAUGGAAGUUUGAUGAUACAAGAUUAAUGAACUGACAAAUAGAAGACGAAGACUGCUCUGUUUCCAUCAUUAUCUCUCUCUCCAUUUACAUAUCUAAAGACACCUAAAACCUACAGAGGAACUAAAAUAGCUAACUAAGAGACAUCCUCUAAUACAAGACUCGCUAUCUGACUCUCAAUUUUCAGCUUUUGUUGUUGUUACUGCUGCUUAUCUUACUCCGUUUUUGACUAGGAGUUCUGAUAUCUCCAAGAGGUCCUAAGCGCAGAGAUAGAUCACACCCAUCGAAGGUAGUACUGCCCUUUGUUGCAUCAGUGGCAAUCACAGGUUUGCUGCUCUUGUUCGACUUGUACGAGUCAGUGACAUUGUUAGAUCUUGGCAAAGAAGAAACCAUGAAUGAAUAACACAAAGGGUAGCUUGAGUACUUGGAGACAGGGCAUCUCUCGACCCACUUCUCUUGAACAUCGCUGUGAAAACUCAUAACCUGAAGAUUCUUCGGACAAAAGUUGUUCUGUUUCAUGAAGGCUUGGUAUUGCGGAGACAAAAUGUUGUCCAACUUAGUUGAGUCUUGGCUAAGAUAACAUCUGGGGUUUAUGUUCCGUUGGCUUCUUGAAGCUCUCCUUGGCGUGCAACCCAAAUGCAAAGCAGCUACAGAAACAAAAAGAACAAGACUAAGAAGAAGAAUCAAGAGAAGUGUAAUAGUUCAGAUUGUAUACGGUAUACCUUCAAUACAAGGCUGAAGAAACUCCCCUUUUUCGGUGGUCUCAUCGAGUCGGAUUAUGGUGUUAAUGGCCUCGUUUGUACGGUCCAAAAGUGUAUUCAUGUCCAUAUACUCAGCCUAACAAUGAAGUAAAUCAAAAUAUAUAGUCAAGACUCAACUAACUUGGACACUUUACUUACAAAUCUAUUAUUUAAGUACAUAUACAGUGACAUGAGUUCCAAUGUUCAUUAUGUGGAGCAGAACAUCACAAGUAACACUGUAUCUAUCUCACUGUUCAAUGAACUACUUCUCUGUUCCACAAUAACUGAAGCUAAAUUACUGUUGAGAAACAGUCUUUUAAAUUUCGAAAUUAAUUUUUUUUUUUUGGAGAAUGAAAAUGUAAUAAAGAAAAGAACCUCAGAAUUGGCUUUGGAGUACAUGAUUUCUUCAGCUCUCAAGACAACAACAGGGAGCUUCUCUUGCCAUUCAGUGUUCUUCUUGGUAGAUUGGCUGUGAAUCUCACAAACAAUCCUGCCAAAAAAUAGGUUUCAUAUAACAAUUGAGCUAAAAGAAAACAAAGAAGGGACACAUGCACACCUCUACAUACACUGUUACAGAGUGAGAGAGAGAGAGAGAGAGAGAGAAGAUGACCUGAAAAUCUCUUGGAUGAGCAAACCCCUUAUGGGUUGGUGUCUGUCACUAUGCCAAACUCUUCUGAUGCAUUCGUACGGUCUUGGUCUUGGCCCUGGCCCUGGCCUCGGCAUCUUCUUUCCCACCACUUUCUCUUAAGUUCCUAUGAGAGAGAGAGAGAGAAAAGACAAAGUCAGAUUGUUUUGCUUCCCCUCCUUUCGCUACCCAACUCAAUAAUAUCAGUGUGGGAGAGAGAGAGAGUGUCUUGUCAGUUGGUCCGGUCCGGUUCGUUCCGGUUUACUCCGCUUUUUUAUGAUUUUCAUGGUCCGGCCUACCCUAUAGUCUAUUCUCUAUACUCUAUAGGAUUGCAGUCCAAUAAAUUAUUUUUAGAUUAUCCCUUUUCCAGAGAUAAUAAAACAAGAGCCUUCACCAACUACAGUUUAUGUUGAUAACCAAACAUUGACCAUAACCUAGUUCUACAUAUGAUCUACAUUUGCACUAAUACUCAAAUGUAAAGCUUUAUUUCAAAGGUAUGCGUGAUUGGGAAGACUAAAACAUUAGAUGCCCAAAACGUUUUAAUUCACUAUAUUAUUGCGGUUGAGAUUUUUAUACUAUUGUAAGACAUUUUACGUCUUUAUGGAAAUUUAAUCCUUAACAUAUCGCUUUCAUUCUUGAAUAUGAUGCAAUACAUUUUGAAGCUUUCGCUAUAAUUGCUUUCUCAAGGAAAAAUAAACUAAAAAGAGUAAACAGUACAUACCCAUAAAGAAACUUUACAAGUUUUAUUGUUUGGUUGAAGUAAAAAGCAUUGCUUUCGUACCACCUCGAACUUUUCGCUUAUAGUUUAAUCUCUGACACUGAAAUAACUCACGAUGACGACAAAAGAUGUAAAAUUUCUGAAUUGACAACCACAAAACAAAAUAAGAUCUAGCUGACCAAAAUAUAAAUAUAGCUCAGUAAAUAUUCAUUGAAGACCCAAAUUGAAACCACUCACGUCGCCGUUGUUGGAAGCAAGGCCCAAAAAGUCAGAUUUGAAGGCCCAGUAUGAUGCAUGCCGGGCACGUGGAUACACAGUAAAAGCUAUGUUGCGUUCGACAUGAAAAUGUUUCCUAAAAAAUGGAUCGAUUACGAAAAACCAUGCAGCCACGUGAUAUCAUUCAGAGGCUACUUUACUAAGAUCACCUAAUGAACUCUCUCUUGGGAUCAUCUUUUCAAUUUUUUAUUAUUAAUUUUUUUUUUCUUUUUCUUUCUGAUUAAAAAAAAAAAAAAAUUAGACUAAUCACGAACUGCCACGACACGUAGGAUCCGCGCUACAGUGAUGAACUUUAGGAGAUAGGGGUUCAGCAAAGAGAGCUUUAGGAGAGAAGAAUUCAUGUGAUUUUAUUAUUUUAUUAUUAUUUUUUCUUGAUUUCUGUGUGAACUCCUCUCAUGAAUCCUCAAUGCGGAUGCUCUAACCAACGGUUUCUAUCGUACCACGUCUAGGACCAUGAACAUAAUCGAAUAUUUAUGACUACUUUAAAUGGUCCCUUUUAACUCAACGAGUAAACUGGUAUACGAUCACUCUGUUGGCAUAUGAUUUAGUUAGAUUAUACUCACUGUAAGUAGUUUUGGUUAAAAACACAAAAAUUUUAAAAACUAUUAUGUUUUAAAAAUUAUCGUAUAAUAAAUAUGUUAGAUAUAACUUAACCAAUCAAAAAUAAAUCUAUUUAAUUUGAUUGGUCACACUAUAUUCAAUAAAUGUAAAAAUUAUCUAAAAAUAUGAAAAAUACUUACAUUUUGAAAUAAAAAAAUUCCCCGAAAUCUACUUACACGCGAAAUGGAGGGAGUAUAACAAACUGAGAAGAGAAAGUACAAGAAUAAUCAUAUAGUAUACAUACUAUGAUGUUGACCAAACAUAAUUACAUAUUUUAUUUUCGGAACAAAUUGAGAGAAAUUGUGGCAAACGAAAAACUAAGAGCAUGAUUAUUGGAGUUCUUAGCAGAAUAUAAGAACCCGUCUCUUAAUUUUUAACUAAAAAAGAUAAGAACCGGUUAUUAAAUAAGAGUUUUAAGAGACGGAAUCUUAUAUUCCGUUAAGAACUUCAGUCUAAAAACCCCUAAUAAUUAUGCUCUAAGCGUUAUGUAAAAGCAUAUUAAAUGAGAGGUUCGAAAACAUUAAUAUUUUCUUUAUAUCACAAUACUAAAAAUGGGAUAAUCUCCAAUUCUAGCAUGUCCACGUCAGCAUAAAUAAUCUUCCAGUCAGAACAUUUCGUUUUCGGGCUGGGCUUAAAUUUUUUUCUGAAUUGACUUAUGCGCGUGGGCUUCUUUUGAUUUGGGAUUGGGCUUUUAGAUCAUCUAAUAAUUAGACCUAGGUCUACGACGCGGAGCUGAAGUCGCGUGUCUCUUCUUGCCUCCUCUACCACUUCGUCUUCUCUCUUCUCCUCUGCCACUUCGGCUUCUCCCCCUAAACCAUUUCGACUGAGUUUUAAUCGAUCCAUCGAUACUCCUUUUAUGUGGUUUCGUUUAAGCUCAUUUUUUUCCUCCUUCUUUAUAUACUCUGAAGCUUAUAAUUUCCUGAUGUCGCGGAGUUAGCUGAUGUCGUUAAGCAUUUCUCUCCUUUUUGUUUUAGCUGCUGUUGGGUUGCAGUAAGAUUCUGGUGUGAGCCGCUUGGUGAGUUUUGGUUGCUUGUGUUGUUGUUUUCCUUUCUCUGAUGUUCGUAGGAGAGAGGCAUCAUUCUUGAUGAUGAUGAUGAUGAUGAUUCUUUCUCUCUCUAUGUAUGCUUAGUUGGUGGAUAAACUGUCGGUUAAAGCUCCUGAUGGUCCAACGAAGAACAAAAUUUUGAAAGAGAUUGCUACGAAGCAUAAUGUAACAUGGGAACCAUAAUCUUUAGUUGAGCCAGAUCCAAAGGAGACUAUAUUGAUGGUCAGUAACUACAUCUUCAUUUCUUUAGUAUAAGUUUCCUCAAUGGCAUUUUCAAUUUCUUUGAGCAGAGUGGAGCAAGUUCCUCUUAAUCCGUGAGUGGAAUAAACUCAUAUUCUUCAAGAAUCCAAACAAUCAACCUCCAGAGUUUCAACCUCCAUCUACUGCUAACGUGGAGCAGGACUUAUAUGAAACUGGCGGAAUAUCUUCCAGCCGCACUGCUUCUACUGAUCACUAACGUCAAGAUCCAAGACCUUCUGGUUAGUUUUUUUCAUAAGAAAAAACUUUUUGUUUAAUGUUUGUUCUAUCUGUGUUGAAGCGUUAGAUGUAACAAAUCGUUUCUUCUUUUAUACAGGAGAUAAGAAUGGUGGCAGAGAACACAGACCUCAUCCAGGUUAUGUGGAUUCAUCUCCAUACGAAACCGAAUUUGCUAAUGCUACAGCUGCUGCACAUGCAGCUGCUGAAUCUGCUGAAAGAGUGAGUUUUGCUGCACGUGCAGCUGCUGAGCUUUCAAGUAAAGAAAGGAUGAGGAUGACGAUGCAGAGUUCCACAGAGUCGCCGAACUCAUCCUCUUAUGAUAAUAUAAGAAACGAACCUUCACAUAGACAUAGUAGCUCAAAUGUACAAAGCAGAGGUUUUGUUAAAGAAGAAAUGCCAAGAAACAUUUAUAGGGAAGAAGAAGAUCAAUCUACUACCAGGGCAGAUCUUUCUAAGAAAAAUGUUGAUGAACAAUCAGAAAAUGCUUCAUGGAUGAGAGGUCAUUCCCGAGAUAACUCAUUGGAGAUGAGGCAGAGUGAUUCCUUUGCUAAAGUAGGCAGAGCGAAGCAGCAGGCAAUUAAAGAUGAUGUCAACGAUAGCUGUUCAGAAGAUGUUCAACUCAAGAAACAUUCAAGCUUGGCUUCAUCGAGUUCACUCACAAGCAAUGUUUCUGAUGACAAUAACAUCAUCUUUGAGGAUAAACGAUUUCAGAGCACUGUUGAAGAUACAGAGAGAAAGAGUCAUGGUCAUGAUGUUGCUCCAGUCAUUGUCACGGCUGAUAAAAGUAUAUUAUCAGUUUUUAUUUUAUGUUGUCUUAGUAGAUUAUUUAUGGAUUGGGUUUGAAUUUAUGAACCUUUAUAAAUAUUUUAUAAAUGAUUUUAAACAUUUUUAAAUGAUUUAUAAUGCCAGUUUUAGUUUUUGGAAAUUUAAAGUAUUUAUGAAAAUUGUUAUCUCUUAAAGAUAAAUUUAAAUAAUGAUAUCAAAUUUGGGGUAAAAGCUAAAAUUAAAAUUAUCUCGGAAAUCAUAACUUACAUUUGUUUCUCCAAAAAUUCUAAAAAAGGAUGUUCAUGUCUAAUUGGAGCUUCUAAUGUUUAUUCCUUCCAUAUAUUUAAAUUUAUUUUUUCAAAAGAAAUUUUGGUUCAUACACUAUUAUGCGUUGUAUUUAAUUAGAAAAUAGUUUAUCCAUAAUUGUGUUUCAAUUUACAGAAGUCAAACGCCAAAUAAGACUUAUUUACUAUAAUGUUAUCAAAAUUAUAUUAGAACAAAUUUACAAAACAACAUCUACGCAUUCUAAAAAAAGUUUUUUUUUUGUUUACCCCAGAAGGUGUAGGUUCACCAGCCAAUUAUAGCAUGUCAUAUCAUAUUUAAUUAUUUUAGAAAAAGCAAAAUAACAAAAAUUUGCUAAGUUGUAUUGUGUUUUUAAAAUAAAAAUAAAAUUAAAAAUAAAUUAAAAAAAUAGUACUAGCCGCAAAAAAUGAGUUUAAAAAAAAAACAUUAUUAACGCUGUCAAUAAAAUUACACUAAAUCCUAAAGUCUAACCUUUAAACCCUAAACCAUUGGGUAAAUCCUAAACUCUAAAUCAUAAACACUAAACAAUAAAUCCUAAACACUAAAUCCUAAACACCGUCAUUAAAACUCUAAAUCUUAGCCCUAAACCCUAUAGUUUAGGGUUUACCCAAGGAUUUAGGGUUUACCCAAAGAUUAAGGGUUUACCCAAGGGUUUAGAAUUUACCCAAAAAUUUUAGGUUUGGUUUUUAGGGUUUAAUGUUUAGGAUUUAGGGUUUAUUGUUUUGAUGACUGCGUUAACAAUGGUUAAAAAAUAUUUGUACUAUUUUUUAUUUAUUUUUACUUUUUUAUUUUAUUUUAAAAACAUAAUAUAAUUUGGCGAAUUCUUAUUAUUUUGUUUCUUUUCUUUCAACUACUAAAUAUGAGCUCGUAGACUUUUAUUGGUUGGUGAAUAAAUAAUUUUUCUAAGAAAUAUCAAAGUAUGGAUCAAUAAUUUUUCUAUAUUUAAAUUAUUGGUCACUAAUAAUAGUAUUAUUACAUCACUUCCAAUAAGUAUUAAUUUUAUUUUAUAAUUUAAUAUUUUAACGAUUUAAUAAUGCAUAGACAAAUUUUAAACGGUUUCAAUUCUAAAAUGGUUAUCAAUCAUCUAUUUUAUAAAAUUUACGUAAAACAAUAAUAAUAAUAAAUGCAGGUACAUUAUUGAACAAAUUAUUUUGUUUUGAUGUGUUUUACUUAUAUGAAAUUUUGAUCCCUAAAAUGUUUCAAAUCUUAUACAGAAGUAAAGUUUACCAAACAUAAUAAAAGAAAAGUAAUUCAAACUAUCUUUCUAAUUUUACUGUGAAAGUCAGGUUACUCUUUUUCAUUUCAUAUAAUAGAAACUUAUUUGAGAUUAAUAUAAAGAGAAAUAGAAUUUUAAAAUUAAAUUUCCUCAUUUAUACAAAAGAUUUACCAUGAAAGUAAAAAUAGUAAGUUACAAUUGAUCAAAUAAACACAAUUAAUCUUAAAUUAAGAUGAUAAUUUACAUGUGAUAAAAUGUGAAAAAAAUAAAAGUACGCGCGGAAAAAUAAUCUAAGAGUCGUAAAUUCCAAAUACUAAAUGCCAUUGAAUUAAACUGAAUUGAAUAUUUCCUUAACUUGUACUCAAAAACUUUUUUUUUGUUUUGAUCAAUACUUGUACUCAAAACUAAAAUAUAAUUUCUUGAUGUAAGAUAUAUGUCGAUGAACAUACACAGGUUGCACCAAAUCUAUCCCACUAUCGCACUCUAGAAAAAGAAAAUGAUUUGAUCGCUCUAACAGAAUGAAAAUAGCGGCUGGUUUUAAUUCUCCGACAAGAGAUAUGCUGUCGCCGACGUUGUUUCCUCUCUUCUGCGUUUUGUUUCUCUGCUUUCCAGUUGCUGUCAUCUUCACAGUCCAGCGAGAAAUCACCGCCGCAGUUUCGCCCACAGUCCAGCGAGAAAUCACCGCCGCUACUUCGCCGGAGUUUGGCUUCCACUCACGAAAUCUACACGCUUCUACUUCGGUGGUUCGAUUUCGUCAGCAGAUUCCUAAAGACGACGAACAGCUUCUCCGACUCGCUUCCCGGGUCAACCCGAACCAGCCUUCUCCCGGGUCGAUCCGGAAGCUGGCUUUUAUGUAUCUAACGACGGCGCCUCUUCCGUUCGCGCCAUUGUGGGAAACGUUCUUUAACGGAAGCAGCAAGGAACUCUAUAACGUCUACGUUCACGCGGAUCCGACCCGAGAGUAUGACCCGGCGUUCGCCGGCGUGUUUGAGAAUCGAGUCAUUCACUCGAAGCCCUCGGAACGGAACACACCCACUCUCGCUUCAGCGGCGCGUCGGCUAAUAGCUCACGCGCUUCUCGACGAUCCACAGAACUACAUGUUUGCUCUCUUCUCGCCUUCAUGCGUACCCAUUCGCUCCUUUGACUUCACUUACAAGACGUUGGUCUCGUCUCGCAAGAGCUUCAUCGAGUUACUCAAAGACGAGCCGUUGCAGUUCGAAAGAUGGGCCGCGCGCGGGCCCAUCGCGAUGCUGCCGGAGGUGAGGUUUGACGAUUUUCGGAUAGGGUCUCAGUUUUGGGUUCUGAAACGGAGGCACGCGCUUGUGGUGGCGCGUGAUCGGCGUAUCUGGGAGAAGUUUAACAAGACGUGUUUGUGGGAAGGCUCGUGCUUUCCCGAGGAAAAUUACUUUCCGACACUUCUUAAUAUGAAGGACCCGCGCGGGUGUGUCCCAGCUACGCUCACGCACGUGGACUGGACCAUCAACGAGGAAGGCCACCCGAGGAUGUAUGAGCGAGAGGAAGUGGUACAUGAGCUGAUAGUGCGGUUGAGGAACACGCGACCGAGAUACGGUGAGGAUGGAAUCAACGGUUCGGAUUGGACAAUUGGGAGGAGUGAUCCGUUUCUGUUUGCUAGGAAGUUUUCUCCCGAGGCUCUGGAGCUGUUGAUGGGUAUGGCUCGAACCGUGUUGUUCAAUGACUCGGCAUGUGGUGCGUGAAUGGUUCUCUGAUGGCUUUGUUGUAAAUUUAGAUGUAGUUUUAGUUCUUUUGUUUUGGUUAAAAAGUAGAAGAAAAAUCAUUGUAAAUCUAUCAUUAUCCAAGGGGUUUGAGCUAGACGUCAAAGCUCAUCGUCAUAGAUUCGCAACUGAAGUUAAGCGUCAGCAAAUUAAUUUACCUCACAAUCACUUACCAAUGUAGUGGGAAGGAAAUGAAUAUAUAUAUAUAUAUGUAUGCAUGCCAAAGUACCUCAAAAUCUUGGGUUAGUCUUCAGUACAUCUCAAAUGGAUAUAAGCAAUUUACUUUUAAUCUUCAGUUCAAGAGAUUUUACAAGUUAGAGAAUCAAAUACAGGAUCAGGAGAGAUGCAAGAAAUUAUCUAAUGUUUCAUGUUAUUCAUUGGCUUAUUAUUCUGUUGUAAGGAGCAAGUGGUAAUACAGUUAUCUAUGUUUAGCACACAUAACUUGGGUUUUAGUACAUUAUUGAAAUGAUGGUGCCAGUUUGUUGUCUGGUGGCUUUAGUUGCUGGUUCGUUUUAAUAUUCAGAUUCUAUUUAUUUUCAUUGGUUUCAUUUACCACUGAAAAAGAGUGUUUUUUGACAAAAAAAAAGAAAAAAAGGAGUGGUUUAUUUAGCAGGAAAACUGAUAUACAAGAGAACAUGAAGUAUGCCUAUAUAGCCUGUUUGCGUACAAGCCAAACAUCAAAUAGCUACAAACAAACUUAGUCACCUGAUAUUUUAACAAAAACAGAUUAUCACACAGAAUAUAAAAUAAUUACAUUUACCAAUCGCUACUCGCUUGCUUCACCCAACUCAAACCAAAGGGGGCAAAGAUAACCAGGCGACCUCAGAAGAAUUCAAUGUUUUACAAUAGGUAUAAACGUUCAAGAAAAAAAUGGGUUUUAAAUGACAUUAUUAAUCAAACUCAAAAGAUAAACAGUCUUCAAGCAAACUCAUAACCAGGAAGAUACAAGAAGCAACCGGAUUAUAACACAAGAAACAUGAGGUACCAUCUGUGUAUUGGUCGAAAAAUAUUAUAUAUUUAUGUAAAGAAAAGAACAAAGCUCAGUAAGGGUUGUUGUAGUAAUACCCCAUCGGUGGCGGUCCCAUCCCGUUAACCGGUGGCAUCCCAUAAGGCAUUCCGUUUGGGGCAGGACUCAUCUUAGCCAAACUAGCUUGACCUCUCAUCCCUUCUUGCUGAUACUGCUGCCAUAGCUGCUGCUCCUGAGUCAAAAGAUACUGCUUUUUGUCCAUCUCAGCCAUUUGCACAUACGAAGGAGGCGGGAUCGUUAGCGAAGCAGCAAAAGGGUCUUGGUUCACUUUCUGCACGGUUCCAUCAGGUGCAGGGAGCGCUAAUAUAUGGCUGUUGGUCUUACUCGGCAAAGGUAGCGCCACGCUGCUUGAACUCCCACCGGUUAGCUCCGAGGUGCUCACGUGUUGUCUAACAGCUCCUUGAUCGUACAUACCGUUGAGCAGCAACGGGUCUAAACCACCGCCCAUCGCGGCUUUCUGAUGCUCGAGGUUGCUAGCUGUCUCGACCAACGCAAGCUCCCAAUCAGCCUUCCCUUGUUCCGCUGCUGGAUUCUGCCAGGCUGAUGUCACCUCGCUGUUAUCAGAAGAGAACGCUUCCCAUUUUCCGUUACUAGUGACAGGGCCAGCGAAAAGGGCAAGAGCAAACUUGUUUCCUUGGUCAUCAGCACUAACACCAUCCUCCCUCAGGUCAACUAGAUCAUUAGUUACUUGCGGUUGCUCCACUUUCGCCUCUGGCUUAGGCGGAGGCGGCGGAGGAGUAUAGUUCUCCGGAGGAGGAAGCGCUUUGAUCUCGUUCAUAUCCACCUCCGCCGCCUCCUCAGGAGCCGGAGGAGGAGGAGCUUCUAUCUCCUUCCUCUCAGGACUCUUCCCCCUCUUAGCUCUAUCCCUCACAAACUCCUCAAGCGUCUCCAACAACUUACUAGUAAUCCUCUGCACCUCAGGAUACUCAGAAGAUCUCGCCACACCAGUGUCUUUACACCAAUGGUAAAACGCAAUGAGCUCAUCAAUCUGUUUCGCCGCGCUAGCGUAAGCAUCAAAGGCCUUAACGCAAUCCGUAUACUCCAUUUCAAAAAACUUAUCAAGAAGAACCGCCAACACUUCACAAAUAUCAGCGUAAAGCCUGAAACUCUCCUUCACAAUAGGAUACAUAGCAACCAAGAUCAUCCUGCUGCUUUUAGCUAAACCGGUAGGACGAGAAGACAAGAACCGGUCAAGAAGCCUCUGUAAAUGCCCCAUCUUCCCAAAAAUCUUCUCUGGCGGCAUGUCUCUUAACGGAGUAACAGUAACAACAUCUCUCCCUCCACCAAUCUCAUUCACAUCUCCAAAGGACCGUGACCUUUUCGGCAUACCGUAACCGUUCUCGUAAUCAUAACCUCUCUGAGGAGGGGGAGAUCGAAAAUCAUCAUUACUCUGGUGACUACUCCCACUCCCUCCACCGUUCUUCCCUUUCCUCUCGAACAAAGCCAACUCUAGCCUCUGAUCCAAGUAGCUAGCAUACGUCCUCACGAAAGCAGAGUGGUCCCAGGAGCUGGAGUGCGCCUCGUCGCGAAAGUCAGACAUGUUGAGGAUCCUCGUGCCUCGCCUCGUCGCGUAGAGGAUCUCCUCCUGGAAGAGCGAGUCGCCGUCGUUGAGGAGGCGGUGGACGAGCAUUAAGGCUUUGAGCGCGACGAUCCAGUCGCGAGUUUUGCCGAGGCGGCGGGCGACGGAGGUGACGCAGGCGUGGACGUAGCCGCGGGAGAGGGAGGUGAGGCUGAGGAUCUCGCGGAUGUACUUCUCCGUGGACUGGUCGUCGUCGUGGCUCGUGGCUUUGACGAUGGCCACUUCCAGAUCUGGAGCUAUGUUGCUGGCGACCUUGGCUAUGCUGAUGCUCGUCUGGUCCUUCACCACGCCGAUCGCUUUGCGUAUGCUCAACGCCAUGGUGGUUAGGUUUGACUCAAACUCUUCAAUUGAAAAAAAAAACAGAGCAAAAAAAGAAAAAAACAGAGCAAGUUCGUUGAGAGAUUGAAGGAGAUUUCGAGUUUAAUCAGCGAAGAUCGUUACGAAAAUUGAAAAUUGAAAAUUGAAAAUUGAAAAUUGAAAAUUGAAAAUUGAAAAUUGAAAAUUGAAAAUUGAAAAUUGAAAAUUGAUAUAUUAGUUUUGGUAGAAAUAUUCUUUAGAAAAAUACCUUUCUUUCGCUAGAUCUGAGGGAGAGAGAAGUGUUCUCCGGUGGAGGAAAUGUUAUUUCUCAGGCGGAGGAGACGGAAUCGGGAUCUGAGAUCUAUGAGGAAGGUGAAGAAGAUCUCAUAUUACGACUUAUUUGGCGGUGUGACAGAUCCAUCGAACGAGUCCAAGAUGAAGUGGCUUUAGACAGAGGGAGAGGAUUUAAAGAGAGCUUGAGUUGAGGAUGACGUGGAUUAAUGAAAGCCGUUUGAUCUAAAGGAGAUGCGAUAUUUUUGUAACCGGAACUAACGGAGCCGUUUUGUCUGAGUCUCAGACUCUCUGGUCUGAACACUGUUAGUGAUUUUUCUUUUUUUCUUUUUUUUUUGUGAAAAGCAAUGUCAACGUUUUGUAGGAGUUUUUAUAAGUGUUUACAGCUGUUUUAUAGUUUCUUUUACCAGAUUAAUCUCUUUAUAUUUCUAAAAAAUAGUAUUUUUAUUAAUUUGUGCAGAUUUUAAUUUUGUUUUCUUAAAAAUAUUAAACAAAAUUUAGAUAGAAAUUCCUUUACUGUUAAUUUUAACAAUAAUUAAUUGUGACAACAAAUAAUUUUCAUAAAAUAUCUCAGUACAUAUUUAAAUUACCUAAUAAUAAUAAUAAAAUGAGAACUAAUAAUAAUAACAAAAUGAGAAAAUAUUUUCAUUUAGUAUUUUCAUGAAAUACUCAUAAAACAUGUUACUUUAUGAAUGGUACAACUUAAAGAAAUAAAAUUAAUUGCAUUAUUAAUUUAUAAUAAAAUAUUAAUAUUUUGUAAAAAAUCAAGAAUGAAGAAGAUGUCAUAGAUCGAGACGCUCUUACACCCUGACGACAGAAUUACUUAGUAGAAACUGAAGUACAUCUUCGUAAAAAAGGCUAAAACUGAAGUACGUUUCUUCUUUGUUUCCCUGUUAAACUUCGAUCAUUCCUUGACACGGCGCUAAACAUGUCAUUAAGCAUUAAAUAUGUAUAUUACAAUGCAAAUCUGUGACUAUCAUAAAAGGCUUGUAAUUGAGAUCUAAUCAUGUCCAAUCACUCCCGUGGAAGCAUAUACUCCAAUAAGCGGCAUGCCAAUAUUAUAUUCUUUCAUGUCAUUUCAUUUUUGUUUAUUCAUGAUUAUCCAUCUUGUUCUGAUUUGUUCAAAAUUUAUGAUUUUGGAUCAUCUCUAUAUCAAUUUUAAGUGGUUUCAGAUAUUUAAACCAACCAGAUCAAGUGACAUGCCCAAACCCAACCAGUCACGAAAUUUGAUAUCAUGGUUCCACAUCCAUUGAUCUCAGUAUAUGUUCCUAGUUCUUUUGUUUUUCCUAGUUUUGAUCGCGCUAACAGAAUGAAAAUAGCGGCUGGUUUUAAUUCUCCGACAAGAGAUAUGCUGUCGCCGACGUUGUUUCCUCUCUUCUGCGUUUUGUUUCUCUGCUUUCCAGUUGCUGUCAUCUUCACAGUCCAGCGAGAAAUCACCGCCGCUACUUCGCCGGAGUUUGGCUUCCACUCACGAAAUCUACACGCUUCUACUUCGGUGGUUCGAUUUCGUCAGCAGAUUCCUAAAGACGACGAACAGCUUCUCCGACUCGCUUCCCGGGUCAACCCGAACCAGCCUUCUCCCGGGUCGAUCCGGAAGCUGGCUUUUAUGUAUCUAACGACGGCGCCUCUUCCGUUCGCGCCAUUGUGGGAAACGUUCUUUAACGGAAGCAGCAAGGAACUCUAUAACGUCUACGUUCACGCGGAUCCGACCCGAGAGUAUGACCCGGCGUUCGCCGGCGUGUUUGAGAAUCGAGUCAUUCACUCGAAGCCCUCGGAACGGAACACACCCACUCUCGCUUCAGCGGCGCGUCGGCUAAUAGCUCACGCGCUUCUCGACGAUCCACAGAACUACAUGUUUGCUCUCUUCUCGCCUUCAUGCGUACCCAUUCGCUCCUUUGACUUCACUUACAAGACGUUGGUCUCGUCUCGCAAGAGCUUCAUCGAGUUACUCAAAGACGAGCCGUUGCAGUUCGAAAGAUGGGCCGCGCGCGGGCCCAUCGCGAUGCUGCCGGAGGUGAGGUUUGACGAUUUUCGGAUAGGGUCUCAGUUUUGGGUUCUGAAACGGAGGCACGCGCUUGUGGUGGCGCGUGAUCGGCGUAUCUGGGAGAAGUUUAACAAGACGUGUUUGUGGGAAGGCUCGUGCUUUCCCGAGGAAAAUUACUUUCCGACACUUCUUAAUAUGAAGGACCCGCGCGGGUGUGUCCCAGCUACGCUCACGCACGUGGACUGGACCAUCAACGAGGAAGGCCACCCGAGGAUGUAUGAGCGAGAGGAAGUGGUACAUGAGCUGAUAGUGCGGUUGAGGAACACGCGACCGAGAUACGGUGAGGAUGGAAUCAACGGUUCGGAUUGGACAAUUGGGAGGAGUGAUCCGUUUCUGUUUGCUAGGAAGUUUUCUCCCGAGGCUCUGGAGCUGUUGAUGGGUAUGGCUCGAACCGUGUUGUUCAAUGACUCGGCAUGUGGUGCGUGAAUGGUUCUCUGAUGGCUUUGUUGUAAAUUUAGAUGUAGUUUUAGUUCUUUUGUUUUGGUUAAAAAGUAGAAGAAAAAUCAUUGUAAAUCUAUCAUUAUCCAAGGGGUUUGAGCUAGACGUCAAAGCUCAUCGUCAUAGAUUCGCAACUGAAGUUAAGCGUCAGCAAAUUAAUUUACCUCACAAUCACUUACCAAUGUAGUGGGAAGGAAAUGAAUAUAUAUAUAUAUAUGUAUGCAUGCCAAAGUACCUCAAAAUCUUGGGUUAGUCUUCAGUACAUCUCAAAUGGAUAUAAGCAAUUUACUUUUAAUCUUCAGUUCAAGAGAUUUUACAAGUUAGAGAAUCAAAUACAGGAUCAGGAGAGAUGCAAGAAAUUAUCUAAUGUUUCAUGUUAUUCAUUGGCUUAUUAUUCUGUUGUAAGGAGCAAGUGGUAAUACAGUUAUCUAUGUUUAGCACACAUAACUUGGGUUUUAGUACAUUAUUGAAAUGAUGGUGCCAGUUUGUUGUCUGGUGGCUUUAGUUGCUGGUUCGUUUUAAUAUUCAGAUUCUAUUUAUUUUCAUUGGUUUCAUUUACCACUGAAAAAGAGUGUUUUUUGACAAAAAAAAAGAAAAAAAGGAGUGGUUUAUUUAGCAGGAAAACUGAUAUACAAGAGAACAUGAAGUAUGCCUAUAUAGCCUGUUUGCGUACAAGCCAAACAUCAAAUAGCUACAAACAAACUUAGUCACCUGAUAUUUUAACAAAAACAGAUUAUCACACAGAAUAUAAAAUAAUUACAUUUACCAAUCGCUACUCGCUUGCUUCACCCAACUCAAACCAAAGGGGGCAAAGAUAACCAGGCGACCUCAGAAGAAUUCAAUGUUUUACAAUAGGUAUAAACGUUCAAGAAAAAAAUGGGUUUUAAAUGACAUUAUUAAUCAAACUCAAAAGAUAAACAGUCUUCAAGCAAACUCAUAACCAGGAAGAUACAAGAAGCAACCGGAUUAUAACACAAGAAACAUGAGGUACCAUCUGUGUAUUGGUCGAAAAAUAUUAUAUAUUUAUGUAAAGAAAAGAACAAAGCUCAGUAAGGGUUGUUGUAGUAAUACCCCAUCGGUGGCGGUCCCAUCCCGUUAACCGGUGGCAUCCCAUAAGGCAUUCCGUUUGGGGCAGGACUCAUCUUAGCCAAACUAGCUUGACCUCUCAUCCCUUCUUGCUGAUACUGCUGCCAUAGCUGCUGCUCCUGAGUCAAAAGAUACUGCUUUUUGUCCAUCUCAGCCAUUUGCACAUACGAAGGAGGCGGGAUCGUUAGCGAAGCAGCAAAAGGGUCUUGGUUCACUUUCUGCACGGUUCCAUCAGGUGCAGGGAGCGCUAAUAUAUGGCUGUUGGUCUUACUCGGCAAAGGUAGCGCCACGCUGCUUGAACUCCCACCGGUUAGCUCCGAGGUGCUCACGUGUUGUCUAACAGCUCCUUGAUCGUACAUACCGUUGAGCAGCAACGGGUCUAAACCACCGCCCAUCGCGGCUUUCUGAUGCUCUAGGUUGCUAGCUGUCUCGACCAACGCAAGCUCCCAAUCAGCCUUACCUUGCUCCGCAGCUGGAUUCUGCCAAGCUGAUGUCACCUCGCUGUUAUCAGAAGAGAACGCUUCCCAUUUUCCGUUACUACUAGCAGGACCGGCGAAAAGAGCAAGAGCAAACUUGUUCCCUUGGUCAUCAACACUAACACCAUCCUCCCUCAAGUCAACUAGAUCAUUAGUUACUUGCGGUUGCUCCGGCUUCACCUCUGGCUUUGGUGGACGAGCAUUAAGGCUUUGAGCGCGACGAUCCAGUCGCGAGUUUUGCCGAGGCGGCGGGCGACGGAGGUGACGCAGGCGUGGACGUAGCCGCGGGAGAGGGAGGUGAGGCUGAGGAUCUCGCGGAUGUACUUCUCGGUGGACUGGUCGUCGUCGUGGCUUGUGGCUUUGACGAUGGCGACUUCCAGAUCUGGAGCUAUGUUGCUGGCGACCUUGGCUAUGCUGAUGCUCGUCUGGUCCUUCACCACGCCGAUCGCUUUGCGUAUGCUCAACGCCAUGGUGGUUAGGUUUGACUCAAACUCUUCAAUUGAAAAAAAAAACAGAGCAAAAAAAGAAAAAAACAGAGCAAGUUCGUUGAGAGAUUGAAGGAGAUUUCGAGUUUAAUCAGCGAAGAUCGUUACGAAAAUUGAAAAUUGAAAAUUGAAAAUUGAAAAUUGAUAUAUUAGUUUUGGUAGAAAUAUUCUUUAGAAAAAUACCUUUCUUUCGCUAGAUCUGAGGGAGAGAGAAGUGUUCUCCGGUGGAGGAAAUGUUAUUUCUCAGGCGGAGGAGACGGAAUCGGGAUCUGAGAUCUAUGAGGAAGGUGAAGAAGAUCUCAUAUUACGACUUAUUUGGCGGUGUGACAGAUCCAUCGAACGAGUCCAAGAUGAAGUGGCUUUAGACAGAGGGAGAGGAUUUAAAGAGAGCUUGAGUUGAGGAUGACGUGGAUUAAUGAAAGCCGUUUGAUCUAAAGGAGAUGCGAUAUUUUUGUAACCGGAACUAACGGAGCCGUUUUGUCUGAGUCUCAGACUCUCUGGUCUGAACACUGUUAGUGAUUUUUCUUUUUUUCUUUUUUUUUUGUGAAAAGCAAUGUCAACGUUUUGUAGGAGUUUUUAUAAGUGUUUACAGCUGUUUUAUAGUUUCUUUUACCAGAUUAAUCUCUUUAUAUUUCUAAAAAAUAGUAUUUUUAUUAAUUUGUGCAGAUUUUAAUUUUGUUUUCUUAAAAAUAUUAAACAAAAUUUAGAUAGAAAUUCCUUUACUGUUAAUUUUAACAAUAAUUAAUUGUGACAACAAAUAAUUUUCAUAAAAUAUCUCAGUACAUAUUUAAAUUACCUAAUAAUAAUAAUAAAAUGAGAACUAAUAAUAAUAACAAAAUGAGAAAAUAUUUUCAUUUAGUAUUUUCAUGAAAUACUCAUAAAACAUGUUACUUUAUGAAUGGUACAACUUAAAGAAAUAAAAUUAAUUGCAUUAUUAAUUUAUAAUAAAAUAUUAAUAUUUUGUAAAAAAUCAAGAAUGAAGAAGAUGUCAUAGAUCGAGACGCUCUUACACCCUGACGACAGAAUUACUUAGUAGAAACUGAAGUACAUCUUCGUAAAAAAGGCUAAAACUGAAGUACGUUUCUUCUUUGUUUCCCUGUUAAACUUCGAUCAUUCCUUGACACGGCGCUAAACAUGUCAUUAAGCAUUAAAUAUGUAUAUUACAAUGCAAAUCUGUGACUAUCAUAAAAGGCUUGUAAUUGAGAUCUAAUCAUGUCCAAUCACUCCCGUGGAAGCAUAUACUCCAAUAAGCGGCAUGCCAAUAUUAUAUUCUUUCAUGUCAUUUCAUUUUUGUUUAUUCAUGAUUAUCCAUCUUGUUCUGAUUUGUUCAAAAUUUAUGAUUUUGGAUCAUCUCUAUAUCAAUUUUAAGUGGUUUCAGAUAUUUAAACCAACCAGAUCAAGUGACAUGCCCAAACCCAACCAGUCACGAAAUUUGAUAUCAUGGUUCCACAUCCAUUGAUCUCAGUAUAUGUUCCUAGUUCUUUUGUUUUUCCUAGUUUCUCAAUCAAACGACUUAAAAUAAAAUAAAAAUCAAUUUGGAUUGCCAGUAAGGGAUCGAUGUAAUAUCUAAAAAGCCUAUUCAGUUCCCAAACUUGAUGAGUAGUUGAUCGUUAAGAGUUGUGAUUUUAUUUUUUUGCUGUACAAAUCUUGCUGUGAUUUUUUUUUGUUUUGGCUUUAAAUUUUUAAUUUUAAAUGUCUUUAACUUUGGAUUGUAGGCAUUUGUCGUUGCAGAAAAAUUAUAAAGACAUGAAUUUAAACAAGUGUUGUGGAUUUUAAAAAAGACUGUAAAUUUUAAAUAGGUAUAAUUGUGACUGUGGAGAGCAUCUACAAUCACACCGAAAUUUUUUUACAAUCUUAUUUACAGACAAGCUUUGAAUCACCCACUGAAUAGAACUUUUAAACACUCUGCAACAAUUGAUGGUUUGAUGUUUUUUUGGUGUGCACAAGAUGGUUUGAUGUUCAUCGAAUCUUUAUUAGCUAUUGGAUCCUUAUGUUGUUUCUCGAUGAUUAAUAUUUUGAUCUUGUAGUUUACUUGGCAUUUGAUUUGCGAAUAUGUUGCCUCUUUAUGCUUCUUUAUGUACCUUCUCCCCCUCUAACGGAGGCUGAAACAUGGAAUUAAUAAGGGUAUGAUUUGUCCAAAAAAAGAGGAAUUUCUUUACGUUACCGUGCAUGUUUAGCCAUGAUUCUUGAUAAGUGACAAAAUACCUAAACCAAUGAACUGGAUACUAUAGGAGAAUACAGAAUGAGAAUUCGAGCAGAAAUUUUGAUCAGAUAGACAUUUUGGUUACAAAAUACAGAAAUAGUAUUCGAUUUGAAUUUUUUAUAUUUAAAACAAAAGUCUUGUAUAUGGACACGGACAAUCUCUAGUUAUUGAUAUUCGAUGAACAGAUUCAGCAAAGAUCCUGCAAAACCAAAAAAAAAAGAGAUAUUAAUAUGCCACUCACCUAUAAUAUAGAGAAAUAUUAAAUACAGAGGAGCAAUACGUACUUCCAUGGAGCAUCCCCUGGUAAUAGCCAGUCACACUUGGAAGGUGAAUUUGAAGUUUGUAUCUUCUCUAUCACAAUCUUGGUCUGACAAAAAAAAAUAUACAUUCAAUGAUGAGAAUACUUUUGAGAAGUUAUAUGAUAUGUUUCAUUUGCUUAUAGGUUUAGGAGAGUGUUUACUCACAUUGACUAAACAUGGUAAUCAAGGAGUUCGUUAGAGACUCGUAAGAGUCGAAAAGCUUAAUGUCCACCUUUCUUGUUAUUGCCACACCAUCCAUCUUCACCUUAACAUACAUUGAUGAUUUUGAUGGUCUAACUCUUUCAAUGGUAGCCGCUGGAUUAGAUAUGUUGAUCCUCCUACCAUGAUGGUGAUAUGGGUGAUUACGACUAUGAUGACGAUAAUUAAGAUACUUUUUCAUAGAGGACUUUAUUGGUGGCCAUCCCACGACUUUGCAAUUUUCCUCCUCACUAUAAAAAUUUAAUUAAAUAUUUUAAAGAAUUAUAAUGCCUCCCCGAUUUUUUAUAACUACGCAACAUAAGAUUUUAAGAAACUUAUAAGUACGUAAUCUAUAUACUACCUGUAGAGAUAACUAGUUUUUUUAACCUUACUAUUGUCAAAUAUAUAGUUUGUUACUCACUCGUAAGCAAUAGAAGAGUCUGAUUCCAAAGGAUCUUCAUCUUUCUCGUCUGGCUGGCCAUUCAAAGAAAACGAACAUGGUUUUGGCACAUAAAAAUCUUCUUCCGUAUUCUCCAACCCAAGCAUCGUCUCAAAACGUUUUUCUUUGGUAUCCAAAUGCUUGUUGAGGUCGAAGCCAAACCCAAAAUUUGAAGAAUUAGUAUGAGGUGAAAGAGUGAGAUCAAGAUCCAGCUCCAUUUUUGGUGAAGCUUCGUCUUUGAUGAAAAAAGUUUAUGUUCUUUUGUUGUUGGCUUUGGAAAAGGUUGUGUGCAUAAUUAGAGGAUCAUGAGUAUUCCCUAUUUAUAGUAAAAAGGAAAGGGUACCAAAAGUCAAGGAAGGAUAUAUGGCUUUAUCGUCAAUAUAUAUGUACUCACACAAAUAUAGAUGUCGAUGGAUCUGUAUUUAUGGUGUCUUAAGCAACACGAUACUACAUAAACUAAACAAGUAAUCAGUCAAAGUAUUAGAAUACUAAUGAUUCCUUUUCCGUUAAAUCCUCAACUAUUAUAGUUCAUAUAUUUUCUUAAUUUCUUGGACCAACAACUAUAACAUAUACUUGACUAGAGGAAAUCAUCUUCAAAAGUUACAUCGUAUUUAAUUAAAUUCAUAUCCAACAUGAAUUAAUUAACGUUUCACCGGUUAAACGAAAUAUGUUUAGGUGAAGAUAAUUAUUAAGAAAAUUAUUAUGUUUUUUAAAAGUAUUUUCUAAUAAAUAGGUUAGAUAUAAUUUAACCAAUAAAAAUAAGUCUAUUUAAUUUGAUUGGUUACACUGUAUUCAAUAAAUGUAAAAGUUACCUAGAAAUACGAAAACUACUUACAUUUUGAAACAAAAAUAUUUCUCUAAAACUACUUAUAAUAUGAAACGGAGGGAGUACUUAAGCAGCUUAGCAGACUAGCAAUCGUGCAAAAUUAAGCAUUUAAAAGAACGAGAAUACGAGAUAGUUUCCCUCACAAAAUUAAUUUUAGUUGGUUUCUAAUAUGUAUACAUUUAAGGCUUUCAAAUGAAGAGAAAGGUAGUGAGGAAGUUCCGAAGGGGAAAGAGAAACAAGGACCUUUGUCUUUUGGGAUAGAAGUAAUGACUUCCGACAUUAAUUAAGUUCAGGUCGGCCAAUAUCCUAACAUUGAUGCUAACACCUUUGUACAUUAGUAGUAUUAUUUUAUCUAAAUUGUUAUGCUUUUCGUAUAUAAAAUAGUUACUUUUAUUCAAUAUUCAUCUACACUAAAUGUAAACUCCUUUCUUUGCAGUUUUAUAACUUCGGCUACAAAUAUAUAACUACAAUCGAUACAAUAUAUGGACUUUGUAGAUACAUUUCUUACAUGAUAAAUUAUUAAUUAUAUUUAAUCAUAUAAACUUGUAAUCGGUUUAUUUUUGUGAGGUUAGCUUAUAGAGAAUUUAGGAGCCAUAUACACGCUUUUGAUGAUAAUUAGAGAUCUACCCGUGGCACUAUACACUUUUUCAAAAUUUUCUCAAUAUCCCUAUACUUCUAAUCUUUUAGACUCUUUCCAAAUAUUCUCCUAAGAUAUGAUGUCAGAAAAUUUAGACUGUGGGAUCACUUGUUUAAUCUAUUAACUUAGUCAAUUAUCCUAGUUUACAUUAUAUUUUUUAUAUCUAGCAAUUUGUAAGAACGUGAAAUAAGAACAUGUCUGUCAAUUGUGACGACGAUUACAUACAUGGAGAUCAACAUUCAUCAACGUCUCCGACACCAUCUUUCCACCGCCAAUCUGAGAGUUUUUACACUGCAAAGCCACUGUAACUUUUGACGAAUCCACCGCAUCUGCUCUGGAUAAACUCUUAUUCAAAGGUCAACUCUUCCGUCUCCAUCUCUUUUGAGUGACUCGUUGCCUUAUUACACGAGUUGGUUAAACAUAACUCAGAUAUUUCUACCUCAUUGACAUCUUGUAGUGGUUAUUGUCGCAUAUCAUUGUUUGUAAUUUAUGAAGGAUAUCAUAUGAGUUAACCCCUUCAUACAUAUUUUAAUGUUUGAUUUGAUGCUACAAAUAGGUACCAUUUGCUGAUACAUGUUUGGUUAGUUUCUACGAAAUAAAUUUUGUGGUUAAUCGAUAAAAUGGCUAGAAAGGUGUUACAUGAUAGCUGUUGUUAGCUGUCACAUGGUGUGCUAGCUGUUACAAAAUAUAUUGCAUUAGCUGGUACAUGUUAGAUUAGAUGUUACAAAACAUGUUGCCGCUGAUGGUUAGUGGUUGUAAAAUAUCGUAAAUAAUUGUUGUAAAUGAUACAGAAGUUGUUAACAACUACAAAAUAUGUUAGAGACAAUAAUAAAUGUUUUGUUAGAAUGCACGUAUAAAGAACUACGAGAAUGGACGAAUAUGCUAUCAGGUUAGUUCAAAUCCUUGUUUUCCUUUUGUGACGAUUCACACUCUCUCGCUUCUAUAUGACUAACUUUAUUCUCAGUCACUAUCCAUUUGUCAAUUUUCCAGGUAUAGAGGACCAGUGCGGUGGUCGAAAAAGACAACAAAUAUGAGAGGAAUGUGUGAGCCACGCCACAUAUUAUAGAGAUGCAUGGUAAUAUCAGACACAUCGUUCCGCUUUCGCCAAUCUAGAACAUGGUGGCUAACGUGGAGGCAUCGCAAUACCAUUAAUGUUAACUGGCACUUUUUUAGUUAUCCAAUUUAAUGUUUUAGAUGAUAUUAUUUCAUGUUCGUCUAAAUCGAUCAAUGUAAUAUAUUUUUAACACAAGAAUUAGAGAUUACACAAAAAUAAUACAUUUAACCACACAUUUACCUAGUAAAGGAAAAUAUUAAACCAAUUUUCUUGCAUUUCCAAUUUCGUCAGUAUAUACUAAACAUUUAGCAACUAUUUAACGAAUUAACAGCUAAGAUUAUGUCUCAUUUACAUGUUAUCAAUAUAACAUAUACUUUACUUUUUAUCUUAACCGCUAACUAAAAUUGUAUAUAACCGUUGAAAUUUUCUAUAUUUGUAUAUUGUUUUUAAUAAGACUCGAUUUGUUGAUAAAAGAACUUGAUCUAUGUUGCAUUAUUAACAUAUAAUAUGAAUAGUUAACAUCUACCAAUUAUAUUUACUAAUACACUAUGAACUACAAUCACUAAUUCUCACACUUUUCCCUCCUCUCCAUUUUCACUAAUGUUCGAAUAAUAGUUAAGAAAAUUGUUAACCACUAAGAACAUAAAUAUGAUGAAAUUAGAUCAUUUGCAAGUUCAUUACAUCUAACAUUGUAUGUCAUCAACACAAACACGCAAGGACUCUAGUCACUACUGAUCCAAUUAGCAGCUAAGAUCACAUGAUAACUAUUAAAAUUGUUAAACUAUAAGUUUAAACAUAGAUGAUAAUAUGUUAUGGUAGACAUCCAAUAAGUAAACUUUGUUGUUAUCGCAUGUUAAAUACACUGGUUCACGAGACAUACGAGAAUUCCUCGUGCUUUGUUGAAUCUCACAAUCUAAUUAGUUGUCUUUCCACUUAUUUUGAUCUCAUUGCUAAUGAACCGCCACCAUGAACAUAGCUGGGGCAUGAAGAAAUUGAUGAGUUUAUUAUGACGUCAUACUAAGAUUCAUCGUUAAAUCUCUACAAAAAAAAGAGAUUAUUACAAAAAGUUGUCAAUACACAAAGAAAAAAAUGAGUAACAAAUAUGUUCUUGAAAAGAUGAAGAGAAGGACAAAGAUAAUGAACAUCGACAAAAAUGGAGGAAAGAGAUGAUAAAGAACUAAUUAUUAAAGAGAUAAAAAAAAUUUGUGGUUUAGAAUCACCUAUUCUUAGCUAGUGCACAGAAAGUUACAGACAUCUAUUUAGUUGCACACUUACCCCAUAACAGUAACCUACGCUUGUCCUUGAAGAGAUCAAACCAAAUCCAAUAAUAGUCUUUUUCUGCCUUACGUGUCUUUCUUCUAGGGUAAAAUAGUCAAGUGGUACACAAUUGUGUACGGUGGAAGAGGGUUUUUUUAUGGGUUUGAGUAGUUUCUAAAUUUCUGCUCCAAUAUGGUAUAUUCAGCCAAUAAUCUCUAGCUUAUAUCUGAUUUUCUAUGUUUGCGUCACAACUCACAUUUAUCGCAAUAUCCAAUUAGCGUAUUUAUUAAGAGAACCAAAGCAAAUACCAAAGAUGUGAUAAAAGUGUAUUUGUAUCUAUGUUACUAAGCUAGAAAUAAGAAGAGGCAUCGACCAUCGUUAAGGGACACAUGAUUCAACGAAUAUAUAUAUUUUAAACAUGGAUAUUAAUAGACAAGUUUGGUUAUUGUUGGAACGGACUACCUCCUAUAUUUUUGUUUACAUUCUAUGUUUCUACUAGAAAAUUGAUUUCACACGGAGUACAUUUAAGAAUGAUGUUAUCCAAUAGCAACCUCUGGAUUGUUUACAGCUUGUCACAAUUUUGUUAACCUUUUAAGAGGCAACUAUCGCUAGGCUCUUCCAGCUUGAUUUCACUAUUACAGCUUUGACUUAAGCUACACAUGUUGGGGGAAGAGUUCAGAUCACUAUUAUGAGUAAGAGCUAGCUAUUAACUGUAUGCCUAUCCUGAGCUUGAGUACACUGCCCUAUUUGGGUAGAAAUAUGUUAUUUUUAUAAACAUUUUCUUUAACAAGUGUUUUGUUUUUGUUCUUUGCGUAUGGAUCAUACAACAUAGUUUUGUUAUUGCGGAUGUUUUGUGUAGAUAGCAUACCAUGACAGUCGACAGACUCGAACUCAUAACCAAGUUACCUCUCUCCAAACGUUUUACUAUAUACAAUUGGUAGAAUUACUAACAACUGUACUAAAACUAAAUUAUACUAUUUGGUCUAACCGAUUAAGUAAGCAACAAAAACACCAUGAAGACCAGAGAGAUACAUUAAUUAAAUACUAGGAAACUAUUGUUUAUUAGACACAAAUUGUCCCACAUCAGAUAUUGUAAGAAAUCUUUAAUAAUAUAUAAGAUAGAUGGACCACUCUACUUAUCACCAAUUGGUUUUAUGUUAGAAUCACAUCUAGCUUAAUAUUGUUUUUGUACAGUUUUUAACCCUUUUCUAUUUGUUUUACCUUAGUCAUAUAAUUAUAUAUUCUCAGUUGUUAGCUUGACGUUGACAUAUGUUUGUUUUGAUUUAAGGAAAAGUACUGUUGGUAUAAGGAUAUAUGUUGUGCUUGUGCAUAACACAAUAUUUAAGAACUUAACCCACAACCUUUUUAAGAAAUAAUUCCGUAAGAUGUAAAUCUGGUUUACGAAAGUGACGCUUAAAUCUGAAGUCUAUAUCAUGUAUUAAUAUGAACUUUGGUUGGUCUACAUGUUUUUAAGAUCAACCAAACAGCUGAGAGUAGAUGGGGAAAUAUCAACGUGAAUGUCACGUGGACAGAGUCGUGCGUGCGUGACUACUCGUGCCGUAGUGUCGGGUCGACCACUGAAGUAAUGGGCUUUAAAGGUUGAAGGACCAUAUGACUUGUGGGAACCACUUUCACGCUUGUAGUCUAGCUCGUGAAAUCGAUCUGGUUUGUUAUUAUUUCAUCAGAAAAGUAGCAAAACUUAUAAAACAAUAAAAACUUAUUUUCUACAAAAAAAACAAUAAAAACUUAUUAGUUCAUACCAUUUUCUUUUUGGUUAAGAUUAUUAGUUUAGACGUGCGGCGUCAUCUUUUUAUAAACUAUAACUCAUCAACGAUUUUAGUCUGACAGUUUUUCCAUGAUUUUAGGGUGUGCAAGUAUUUUUAAAAUGGAGAUUGCCGAACAACGUACUAAAAUAUCUUACCAUCAUAAAUAUAAUGAAACCUAAUGUGACAUGAUAUUAAAAUCUCUAUUUUAGGAUCGGAUGCAAGUUAUGCACCAGGGCAGAGCUGGAAAUUUUAGUUUUUACCCGCGGGUCCCGCUCCGUUUGACCCGCUGUGGGACGGGUGCGGGUCGGCCAUUUCGAAAAAUUCAACAUGCGGGUAUGGGUGCGGGUCAAGUCGAUUCUACGCGGGACGGGUGCGGAUCGAUCGAUUUUGAAUCGCGGGUACCCGCUAAAAAAUAAAAAAAAUUCAAAAAAUUAUAUAAUAUAUAGUAUUUUCUGAAUUUAUAGUAUUUUAUAUAUUUUUUACUAAAAUUGAAAAAAUAUAUAAAAUACUAUAAAUUCAGAAAAUAAUAUAUAUUAUAUAAUUUUAUUAGAAAAGUAAGUAUUAUAUAAUUAAAAUAUAAUUAAAAUAAUUAUUUUAUAUUACUCGCGGGUCCCGCGGGUUAUCCGUAAACUUGGACAGGACGGGUCAGGUGCGGUUAUGUGAAUCUUUUUUUGCGGAUCAUGCGGGUCGAAGUUUUGAAUAAAAAACAAUGAGUCGACCCGCAGGUUGCCGGAGCGGGCGAGGCGGAUUGACCGGUGAAACCAGCUCUAAGCAGGAGCAGGUACAAAACGAAUAAAAUUAUACCCAAAUCUAAUAAUAUAAUGGUCACAUAAUUUACCGACAAGAAACCUAAUCCACUCUGAAAAUUCAAGAUCUAGAAGUGGUGAGAUGUAUAAUAAAGGUCGCACGUGGGAUGAUAGAAAGUGUUUGUUUGAGUGAGGGGAGGGGACAAACAAGUGUUAUAGGAAAGGGGGGAAGUGAAUGAAUCUAACUUUGUAACUCAAAAACACUGAGAAAAAAAAGAGCUUUGAGUGCUGUUUCGGACAGCUUUGGCUUAAUGUCUUGUCUCCAUCAAGUUGUAAAUACCAAAGUCUUAUCAUGUUUCUUCUAUGUCUCCUCAACUACUAUUUUACGAAUCGUACACAAACUUUACCCCAUUCAUUCAUUAUUCAAACUUCUUGAUACUAAGAGAUUAACGGUUCAAGAUGAAACUUUAAUGAUCGUUGGAAAUAUUCAAAUAUAUAUGAUCUAACUUUUGCUUUUCACUUUUCAGCACCAAAAAGAAAAAACUAUACCAAAAGCAGAAUUUCAGAGAUUCUUGUAUAGUGUAUAACUUCCUAAUUACAAAGUAAUCUUAUUCUUCAACAUCUCAUUCACAUUCCUAGGUUUUACCUUACCUUGCGUUUACACGAGGCUACACGUUCCAGAAAGUUGACAUAUGAACUCUUAUCAGUCGAGUUUUCCCCUUAAGAGGAGGAGAUGGAAGAGUUAUUUUUCCCUCUUCUACCAUAUUGCAUAGGACCUUUGUUUGGAGAGUAACGCCCGUUGAAGUGCGCGUCCAUACAUUGAUCCAAAAUUCAGAAUAGUAAAUCAUUGCACGUAAAAACCGGCUCGUCAUCAACCUCCUCCACAAUGGUCAGAUAUCACUCCUCCAAAACCACUAGAAUAGUGAAUCAUUGCUUCUUAGCCUAAAAUAUACAUUGUUUCUCUUACAGUCGAUCUUGAAUAUUUAUUUGUUGUGCUUGUAACUGAAAUUAGCUCAAAACAUAUAACAAUAUAAUGUCGGCUCAAAACGAAAAGAGGGGUAAACGAGAAAAUGCCAAACUUAAUUGCACACAUUUAAUGUAUGUGAAUCUAUUUACUUUCACUUUCAAAGAUCGAAACCUGAAGCCCACACAAACGAAGGUUUAGCUUGGUUUUAAUGGUUUCUAAACCGAUUUCCAAACCAAUUAAACCGAUAUCAAGCCAGUUGGUAUUGAACAAAAAUUAAAACCUGACCCAAUCUGACAUCUAAAUAGUGCUCGACCCAACUCAGUUGGGUCAGUUACAAAAGCAAUUUCUUGAAUUGGGCCUUAGGCCACAUAUAUACAGACACGUGACAUUCCUUGAGUCAUUUGCGAUCAAGAGAAGGAAGUGAAGAUUUGGAGUUACAAAUCUCAGUGCAAGAGAAAAGAGUUCAUGACAAAUUACUCUCCUGUUUUUCUUUUCUUUUUCUUCUCAAUCCUUGAAUGUGUAUGUCAAUAGAAGAAACAUGUUCCCCUCUGGAAGCAUGUUCCUUGGUACUGUUGAAAUGGUGUCCUUAGAUGUGUACUUUUACUUUAGAUCUAAGACAUGUUUGUUUGUUUCACCCAAAACUAAGUUAUUACAACAAGGCUCAGCUCUCUCGUCUCUUCAAUUGUCUACUAAAAUGUUUUUUUUUUUUUUUUUCAAAAAAAAAGUCUCAAAGAGUGAAAAGUCUGAUCGCAUUACAAGUCAAAAUUUGAUCAUAGACAAACCAUAAAAGCGCUAGAUUACAGUGUUCAACAAACCACAAUCUCACACGCGCUAGAUAGCGUUGGCAAUGCAAGGAGGAGAUCCCUUAAAGCGACAGGAUCUUGUUCAUCCAUGGAAGAUUUCAAACGCAGAGAAAGUUUCUUGAGGACCACUGAGUUUUCCGCAAAGUACCUUACUAGUUUCAUUUCAGCAGGGAGUCCUCCGAAAGUGCUUGCUAUCUCUACAAACUCGAGUGAUGACAGCAAACACUGAGGCACAGCCGUGAAUCUUGUUUGUUCCCCCCAAAACAAUGAAGGAGACAGAUCCUGCAAAAAUACACAAUAUAAUGAAUUGUUUUCCAAACGCAUAGUCUUGAGACAAGGCAAGGAGACAGACGACUCCAAAGACGUACUACCCACAAACACCCCAUGGAGCCUUAAGUGACGAAGCUUUGGACAGCAUGUAUAGAGUCUCAGUGGCAUCAAGGUCCCAGAAACCACAGGCUUGCACUCAAAAUCGAGAUGCUCAAGUUCUGGUCUUGCCAUGAAAUCUAUCCACCGCGUGAUAUCAUCCUCAACAGUAGUGAGCUUGACCUUGUGCAAGCAUGGCUUCUCUACCCUGGAGGAGGAAUCUAGAAACUUUUCCAUGAAACUCACAAAGGCAUGGGGACCACCUGGGAACGUACAAGUGUCCAAAUCUAUCUCAGAGAUGAAAAGCUAGAGACUUGGUCCUAACAGCUUCUUUUGUCGGAAGAUACGACAGCAAUUUAGAUAUCAAAGCGUCUGGUAAAUUGCUUAUCAUAUCCUCCUCCUCCUCCUCUCUUGUGGUAUCAACGACGCAACUUCCUCCCUAAGAACCUCCGAUAAUCAUGCUAUACGUAUGAAAGGAGCGAAGAAGGUGAAAGAAAGAAAAUACCUGAUGGGUUUUAGAGUUUUCACGCUUAGCCCAUAAAACUUAAAUGGGUGGGUAAAAAUACAAAACACUUCUUAAUUGGGCCUUUGGCCCACAAAUAGACAAACACGUGAUAAAAAUAAUGAGGCGGCCUGCAGUGUGAGGAGGAGCCACACCCACCCUGCGGGUUAUGUUUCAAUAAAUCAGCUAUCUCUCUCUCUUCCUAUGACUUCCCAUGUGUUAAUGUUAUCACACUAUUUCAGGUAUAUACAGUGACUCUGUUUCUUUUUUUCUCAGUCUCACUUAGGUUCUAUGAGGGCACUGAAGACAUUGUUUCACACCUUCCCUCUAUCUAUAGCCUAUCUUCAGUGUUUGGCGCAUUUUUUUGGCUGGAGCUAGGGACUUGUCGUUUGAUUUUUAUGGAUAUGCUGUUGUUUUCUUUAGCCAAUAUAACAACAGCAGUAUAUCUAGCAACCAUCGCCCGGACUGGUACAAGUUGUUAUAGUCCUUCCUACCGGUUUGAAUCAUCUCUUACUCAAUGUCUAAUGUCUGGUUCUCCAGGGAAGUGGUUUGAAUAGCUUCGGCCUUAUGUGGUGCAAUGGUAAUCUAAGGAGAUAGCAAGAUUGUUGACCUAAACUCACAAGACUUCUUGCUUUCAAUCAAUUUGUGAGUGUUUUUUAAAUGAUAGGAGUUAUAAGCGGACCUAUAUUGAUGGUUUGGACAUAUAUGUGCGGUGACCUGGAGAAGACGAUUCACUUUCAUCAGCUCUUUUCUGCCGGCUUCAUGGUACUGUAAAUCACUCUUCUGCCUUUUAUCUAUCAACUUUUGUCUUGAGGAGGAGACUGAUUAUCUGUGUUCAUGUUAAUGUUCUCACUCUGCUCUUGCGUGUUGGCUUGGCUGUCUUCUUAUACUACAGCAUUUUUCUCAACACCACUCUUAACUCGGCUCUCACGCAGACAAUUUGUGGCAAUAUAUAUGAAGGUCCGUUUCACUUUAUAAUUUGUGGUUUAAGUUCUAUUAUGUAUUAUUAUUUUACAACUGAAAGCAAAAACUUUGAACAUUGUAUAUCAUCAUUGCAGGAUCCUAUUCACGGUUGGACUAGGCUGGAUGCUCUUUGGUGGACUCCCAUUCGACCUGGUAUUAUUCUCCCAUCUACAUUUGCAAAACCUCAGUAAUGUAUUUCUGGUUCGUUGUUCACGCAGAUGAAUGUGAUUAGACAGCUUCUCUUGGUUUCUUCGGCUCUGGUUUAUAUGCAUAUUACAAGAUCAUUGGGAGGUAAUGACAGUAGACGCUACUCCAAAACAAAAGAAGAGCCAGUCACAAACAGGUGUCGCCCCUAGUGGUCAUAAAGGCUUUCGAUGAGAAAAGAAAGCCAAGGGAAGCCUUAGUUCGACGAGAAGAAGUAGUUGACCAGUAAUGCUUAAGCAGAUGUUCGAAUUCUGGUUUUGUAGAGUAGUAUUAGUAAGACGAGACCUCAUUUUUUUGAACUUGUGUGUUUCAAGAAGGCGGAACAUAACUGGAUUAUAAAGAAACUGAUUUUCUUUCUUUCUUUGGGAUUUGAUUUACUCUUAUCAUUUCCUUGUUUCUUUCCGUUUGUAUAUAAACCAUAGAGAAGGGUGACUCAGUCUUCUGGAAUCUUCUGUAAACUUUUUUGGUGUAAAUCUAAUGUAAACUUCACACAUCUAUUUAUAUCUUAACGCUGUUACAAGUGAAAGGAUAGUGUGAAAAUCUUGUUAUAGCUCUAAACAAAACAGACGAGACAAGUAGAGAAGAGUUGAGGUGCGAGCAUCAUGUACUCAAUUUAACAUGAAAAGUGGAUGAAAGAAUGACAAACAUUAAAAAGAGAAGACACACCCAGUGGGACUCGAACCCACAAUCGCUUGAUUAGAAGUCAAGCGCCUUAUCCAUUAGGCCAUGGGUGCUUGUUGCUCUUCAUUCCCAUUAAAUCUUAUUAUUACGUAAGUGUUUCUGUAUUGGUCUCUCCAAAAGCAAAUAUAUAUAUCUAACCGGGAAAAAAGUAAAGUAAGCUGGAAAGAAGCAGAGAGAUCCCUGAAGUAAACCCUGUUUCCCUUCAAAGUAUCUCCACUAUCUCUCAUCCUCUUCCACUCUGACACUCAACUUCCACACUUUUAUCUUUCUUUAGUCAGGUAUAAGAAAAGCAAAAAACCAUUUUCUUGUUCUUGAUUUUGCGAUGGAAGUUCCACGCCGCUCUUUGGCUGCCUCUCUCUCUCCUCUCCGCCUCAUCGAUGGUCUCCCUCGCCGGAGGAGUUUUAAUUAUAACCAGAUGCCGGAGGAGCCCAUCAAACUCACUGUUCUCAAGCUUGAUGGAUCUUCCUUUGGUACGACCACUUUCUUGUUUCUUAUAAUCAACCUUUUGAACUUGCUUCUGAGUGAGUGAUUUACCGUUUGUAUGACCUUGUUUUGUAGAUAUCCAAGUGUCAAAGACAGCUACAGUAGGGGAGCUCAAGAUGGCUGUAGAAGCUGCGUUUUCUCACUUGCCCAUCACUGGCGUUGGCAAAGUCUCUUGGUAUCUUUUUUUAAGUCUUCCUCUUGUGUCUAUCUUUAUGUGAUUCUUGAUGAUCUUUAAUCUUACUCUUGUGGGUACCAUUCCAUGAAAGGCCGCAUGUUUGGGCACAGUUCUGCUUAUCCUAUGGAGAUCAAAGACUGCUCAACGAGGCUGACUACCUUAUUGAGUUCGGAAUCAAAGACGGAGAUCAGGUCUGUAUUCAACCUCCCUCUUUUCUUCACUCAUGUAACAACUCUUCUAAAUGAAACUACAGAGUCUGAUUCAAAUGCCUCUUUUGGACAAACAUCAUUCAGCUUAGGUUCAUCCGCCAUAUAUCAAACUACUGCACCAUGAUGGUGAACCAUAAGAGCAAGACACCACAUGUUUCUUCUUUGAAACAACUCAAACUGUAAGAGUCUUUUCUCUUUUCAUUUUCUCUUCAUGUUUUUAGCAUCUCAUCAGACAGAUACAUGUUUUAGACCAUCUAGGUUCUCUCUCAAACCCGAAACCUGGAAAAAGAAAGGAACACAAGGACUAGAAGAUGGUGUUGACUCAGUCACCAAGACACAACCAAGCUUCCUAUCGACUGUAUUGGGAGGUUGGCUCUCUUACAAGUCAACACCAAGUCAACGAGGGACUAAACACAGAAACGUUACUGCUUCUACUUCGAGUCACCUCAGAGCUUUUAACAACCUCAUCGCAAGGUUUCGUUUCAAGUGUUACUCGGAGAAAGAUGUCUGGAACAGGAAAAAGCUCAUCUCUGAAAACAUGAAAUAAUACUCAUUACUAUCUUUCUGCUUCUGACUUCGUUCUUGUAAAGAUUUUGAUUUCCCAAUCUUCAUGUUUAUAUGUAAGAAACAAAUGAUAAGACAAGUCUGUGGCUUUAUAAAGAUGGAUGUUAUAUGCUUGAUACCAUCAAACAUCAUACAAGAGUCUUACUACGUUCAAAGAAAGUGAAACAAUGUUAUUAUGUACAUGUACCCAUUACUAGAACAUAUAGAUUAUAUAUAAGAGCAUACCAGACCAAAGCAAUAUCCUUAAACACUGAACACAAGCCACUUUGAUUUGCCAGAGUCCUGACCAUCCACAAUCUGACAAUCACCACCUUGUCCACCAGAGCCAUCCCUCUGUUUCCCAUCCUUUGAUCUUCCUGCUUUCUUCCCAACGAAUAACCCCAGCUUCAUCGCCGUCAACAGACCCAUGGCAAUCAGCAAAGGCCUCACAGCCCAGUGAAAAUCCUCCAGAUGCUGAUACUUUUUCACAACUCCUUCACAUGUAUUGAAAUCCACAACCUCCACUUCAGCUGGAUCCGCAAGACAGCUGCUUCCAUGCUCCUUUCCAAAAGGCAACACUCCAGGGAACUCCACCUCGAGGCAACCGUUUGGUAAAACCUUAGAGAUCCUCCCCGUUGCCCAAAUCCCUCUACCUUUACGCAUCCAUUUGAAUCUUGGGAUGACGACAUUGGCUUUGAUCUUCACGAACUGACCUACACUGUAUCCUUUAGCCAUCUGAAGCUGAGACGAAGUCCCUUUCCAGAGAGUUGGCAGCCCUAUAAACCCAACAGCUACGUUUCCAUCACGGUCUAUCGAAUGGAUAACACCAACCAGAGAGUGCCUCUUGUCUUCUCCAUCCUUGAGACGCACCCAAUCUCCAGAAGCUAAGCCGUUGGUCACCCGUUCAAGAACAGAUACGUGAACCCUUAACGGAUCAUGAACGCCAUGGACUUUAACGAGAGCAAACUCAUCUGGGUCGGUGUCACGUUCUAAACCAACCACCGUUCCUUCUGGUACAUCCAUGUUCUCGUGCUUAAAAGAAUUGGCAGGCUUUCUUGAACGCACCGUGUCGCCCACUCGGAGUUGAUCCUUUGAAAGAAACCAUUCUGUGUAACCGAGAGCAGCCGAGCUCUUCCUGAUCUCUCUACUGUCAAUGCCUCUCCACACCUCUUCCUCCUCUGAGUCCUGCAAGCUGCACAAUCAUUUCCAGUUAAUAUCACAAACCAAGAUGGACGAAGACGGGCAAGAGACGGUUUACCUCUUCAAGACGUGUAAGAUGUCAGUCAUAGAUGGCCUGCUUCGAAGAUCAUACAUAAAGCAACCUCUAAGUAAGUUCUCAAGAGGAGGCGGUAUGCCACUGGGGAUGCUACUCUUUUCUUGCUUUCUGACCACUAAGUUGUAUAUCUCAUCGGCGGAUUUGCCACACCAAGGCUGCACACCGGUCAGCAUUUCCACAACGCUGCAACCAAACCCCCAAGAAUCAGUCUCAAAGGACAUGGGACCUCUUACUUCCGGCUGCCACUGCUCUGGAGCCAUGUAGUUUGGAGUUCCGAGCCUCAUUGUCAUAUCAGAACUUGGCAAAGGGAUGCUAAGAAGGAGAUAAGGGACUCCAACAUCCCCGAGGAUGGCCUUGUCGUUAUCACUGAGAAGAAAGUUAGAGGGCUUGAGAUUGAGAAUCAGAAACCCCUUUGAGUGCAGCUCCAAGAUCCCUGUAACCAGAUCAACUCCGUAUCUGUGGUUCAACAUAGAUAAGAAGACAUUAGUAUCACUACCAGCUGCUUGCUUGUAUAAUGCAAUGUUACCUCAACACAUCAGGCAGUGAAAGCUUCCCUCCUCUGAGCCGAGCCAUCUUGUCACCAACACAUCCCUCAUAGAACUUCAUGAUGAUACAUAUCUACAAACACACAAAUCUCCAAUUAAAAACAAAAACGGAAACUAAGAGAAACCACCACAUGUUUGUAUUUUUUUUAACUUACCCUUCCACUAAUGCUAGAGACACCACGGAGGAGACAGACACUCUCAACCCCUUGACACUUGGAGAACAAAUCCUCAAACUUAUCAACCACAACUUUCCUUUGAUCCUCCUUGAUGGGAUGAAGCAUUUUGAUGGCGACUUCAUGAUGCUCAUCGUAGUCCUCGGUAGACUGAUGAUGAGUAGCCAACCAAACAUCACCAAAGGGACCUCUUCCAAUCCGGUGGCGAAGCUUCAAGGUCGCAGAGUUCAUCCAGGGGCUAGUACCGGUUGCUAAAGCGCUCUCAGAGCCACCUUCAAUGAUCUCGUACUCAGAAUCAUCAGGCUUUUGAGCAGCUAUCGUUGAAGCCAUAUCUGAAACGAGAAAAAAAAAAAAAUAUAGUUUCAACCGUUACAACUCAAAUCUACACAAAGUCGAUCAACAAGAGAACAUAGCAAAACUUAAUAAAAAAAAAAAGGAACAACCUUUCAGUUGUUUAACUAUCGUUAUGAGCAGAUCGAGGCAAGCAAAAACGUGAAACAGAUGCCUCACAAUAUAUGUAAAUGAAGAGAGAAAAGUCAGAUGCGUGUGUGUGUGUUCUGUUUUCAAGAGAAGUGAGCGAUACAAACAAGGGACAAAGACAAGUGUCGUGGAGAAGUAGGAGAAGGAGAACAGUAGCCCAUCACAAUGGAACUCAAUUAGCGUAAGAUAGAACCAUAAGUCAAUCAAUCAAUCAAACAAAUAAAAGUCAAAUCUCACUAGAUCAGAAUUUGCAAAACGAAUGUUAUCAAAAUAAAAAUUAACUCAAGUUCCAAUGAAAAUUUUGAAAAAUCUUACCCGGUAAUGAGGGAGAUGACUUGAGUAUGAAGCAGAUAUUUCGACGGAUUAAGGCUUUUGAAACCGUAAGACGAGGUAGUGACGGCGAAGACGAGGGAAAGUGAUAAAAAACCUAAUAACCGGUAAUGAUAACUACAAGUGCCUGACGAAAGAGAGAAAACAAACAAAUAACUUAGAAACGAUCAUCAGAAACUGGAACAAGUAACUUGAGGGAAGCUGAUAAAGACAGAGAACCGAGAGAGUCCGAGAGAAAACCUGUGAAGGAUGAAGGGCCCCGUAAGUUUGUUUAAUGAGACACACCUUACCACAAAGCCCACUUUACUUGUCAACCAAAAAAAAGAAUCUUUUUUUCUUUAAAUUUUAAUUCUGUUGUUAUUAGAAGCUCUUCUUUUUGGUUAAACCAUAUUAAGAAGUUUUAUAUUAGUGCAAAGUACACCAUGUUUAGCUUAUCAUAGUACCGAUCACACAACAAAUACGAUUUCAUGAUUGUAUCCACCAAACAAACGACAGUUACCCUGUUCUUUUUACGAUCGCUGCGUCAGCUAUCAGCGAUCAAUAUUAUAGUUAUCUUCACGCGCAAGAAUGUAGAGACUGACGCCGGAAGCGGUACCUUCUCCAUUUUAAAGCAGUUGCAGCUAUCAUUUAAUGGUCGCUACUUUUAACAGCGUCAGUGACGAUGCACGCAAACCUUGUGAAAACUAAACGCAGCGACAACUUAAUUAUUCCCCACCAUUUUUAUUGCCUGGUUUCAAGUAUAAUUUUUGAUCGCCGGUGGUGAUCGCAGCGACACUGUGCCGAACAGGGCCAGUAAGACUGGGGACCAUAGCUUUCAGGUGUUACGGUGGUGCGAGCAAGGGCGGAACUAGAAAAAAAAAAAUUGGGGGAGGGCAAAAUAAAAUUAUGCAUAGAACUAAGGAUAGGUUUGUUAAAAAAUAGGGGGGUCAAAUUGAAAACUAGCCAAUAUUUUACACUGAAUCUUUAAAAUGAGUUGGGGGCAGCUGCCCCCCCGUUAUUCAAUGUGGCUCAGCCACUGGGUGUGAGUGGAAUAAGACUAAUGCUAAACACACCCAAGUUUCCUCUCUUUUUCGUCUGUUGCUCAGGCGCUGUACAAACAAACGCCGACAACAGUGAAGGUUGAAGGUUGGGCUUCCUUGCUGGACCGGAGCCCGUUUCGAAAAAGUCCAUUUUUGCUGAUUGUGAAAUACCUUUACUGGUUUUGGUUUUGACAUCUUUCAAUGUCUCUCUGUACCUCUUACUUCACUCGCAGACACAACCCUCACUUGCACUUUGUUUUCGUUUCAAGAAGAGACAUGUAAAUCUUGUGACAAUAAGAAUCUAUGAAGAUUCAUAAUCCAUCAAAUUUUGAAUCUUUAUCAAACUAAAUAAGAAAAGAGAGCUAAUCAUCAUUUAUAAAAGCUUACAUAUAAAAUUGUUGUUGAUUCAUCGAACGAUCAGACAAAGAAAUAGACAUAGAGAGAAAGCAAGAGAGAUUUACAGUAAUUUCCAUAUAAAUUGAGGAUUGAGAAAGACAGAAGAACAGCUUUGUUUUUAAGAAGGAAGAACCUUCUUGACAAUGUCUUCACUAAGAGCAGCGAUCUGAGAAUCCAAAGCCUUAAUGGUUUCCUCCUUCUGCUUCUCCAAGCUCGCCAACGCUUCCUGCAGCUCCGCCUCCACCUUCUUCCUCCCUACCGCCAACUGCUCCUCCACCUCCACCUGCACCCACAAAAACAUUAAUGUCUUCUCACGAUCUGAGACCACAAUGCCCCCGUUAAUGUUUCCCUUACCUGCGUCUCCUUCUUCAUCUUAUUAAGCGCGGCGGCGAUCUCAGCCCUAGCCGCCCUCAUCACAGCAGCAGCCUGUUCAUCGAGCUCCUUCACCUCAGCGGAAGUGUCCUUCACGCUCGCGAGCUUCUCCUUAAUCUCACCGUCUCUCUUAUCCAUAAAGUUCCCAAGCGGCGAGUAGUAGACUUUGUCGAGCGCGAACAUGAGGAAGAGAAACUCCACGACGAUGAUCGGGAGCGUCAGGUUGAAGUCGAAGAGCUGCGCCUUCUCCAUAGCUUCGGCCAUCGAAGGGGGAGCCAGGGCGGCGAUUAAAGCUAGAGACUUUACGGUGGCGGAGGAGAAAGACAGAGCCUUGCUGCUGAGGGAGGAGGAGAUGGGUUUGGGGAUCUGGGGGA
rnacentral:lncRNA from 1 species